GAAAACAAUGUUCCUAGUUGUCAGCAGCAACUGAUUAUUAUUGAUCUCCUAAAUUUUAAUGGUUAUUUUCUUCUUGUACCAGACAUCUGGCAGCACUUGAUUUGAGAUCUUUACCUGAAUUUCAAGUCUAGCUGGUAUAAUUGGGGUCCUACAAUUUCCAAGUCUAAAUUUUGACGAGUUUGCUCGGUACAGAUUGUUUGCACAGGCAGUGGAAGAUUACCUAAUUACAUAAAAGCUUAAUUUCACAAUUCCAAGAAAUUAGUCAUUUUAUAUGUCUCUUCGGCUAGGCUCUAGUCAAAGCACUUUAAUCUCAGUACUUUGGAGCAAGAUGAAAUUCUCAGAGAGAAAAGGGCUCGACAUAUUAACUCUGAUACCAAUAAAAUGAAUAUUAGGAGCCAUUGCUAUCCAAUGUGGGCUAGUUUAUAUCUACUACACCUAAAUUUAGCAACAAACCAAGGCUCGAAUCCCUAUUCUAGUUAAUCAGCUUUACUUUUUAAAAUCACUAGUUUUUUAACUUUGAACAUACCCUGUUGUUUAUCAACCAACUUUUUCACGUUUAAGAUUUUUUUCUGGUUAGAACAUAUAAAUUCAAUUUAUCAAUCAAGUAUAGAAAGCAUUUUUAGUACAAGUUGAGCCAUGUUUAGCAACACACCUGAAGCAAUGAGCUAUGCUCUAAUGUACGAAUCUGAUCACCAUUUCCAAAAGCUCCUUUGAUUAAUUUCUCUUCAGUCUUUGCAUUUGUUUAUGAAAGAAAAGAUGAAACUAAGGCACUGUAAACCAAUAUGAGAUGGAGAAUUCUUACUAUGUUUAUAUCCAAAAUUACAUUUUUUUAAAAAAAAGUUUGCUAAAGGUACGUGAAAUGAUUUUAACUCUGAUUUUUUGCCCAAUGAAUCGACCCUUUUGGAUCAAAAUUCACAAUGACCACAUUAUACAAAGAAUUUAAAUUUGUUGCACAAGGCAAUUUAAAGUCUACAAGUUACCAGGGAACAAAUGCUUUUGAGUCAGAUGCACGAUGACAGGAAGCCUUUGGCUGCUGAUGCUUGGAUCACCAUAUGCAGCAGAAUCAGUAGGAUAACCUUUCUGCUACGUAGUUAGAAUAGCAUCAUAAAGCAAAACAUUAAUGUCACAAGAUCAAUCAAGAAAACCUGCUUUAGUUCAUUAUAUAUCCAAAUAAGGUUCAAUGUGCAAAAUUUAGAGGAAUUCCUUGAUAGACAAAAUGCCACGCUGGAAAUAAUGUGACAAUGUAUCUAAUAACCUAUCAAUUCAUGAUAUAUUGAGAAAACAAUCAAACAUUAAAAUAUAUGUAUGCAUUCACACUGCCUAUCGAGGAAUAGAAUUUCAACUUGAGAUUAAAUUUAAGGGUAUACUUUUUGACCCCCAAUCACACCAAAAGGAGAAGGGCAGAGUAGCUACUUGAAAUGGUACAUUUUAAAGUUGCAGUAACAAGGAAAUAAGAUUUGUCACUUUAACUUACAAGGAAAUUAACAAGUAUGACAGAUAAUAUUCCCACGUAAACACAUAAAAGUGAACAUGCUAGUGUGGCAUAGGCAAACACGAAAAACCAGAGAGGAAGUAUAUGAUUAUAUACUUACAGUAGAUAAAGAUUGAUAUGUGCCUUCCUUCCAACAGCUUUCUCAACGAAUGGCAGGAUGUGCACUCCCAUCAAAAACACAAUGGAUGCAGGUGUCCCACAAUCUAAGUAGCACUCCAUCAACCAAAAGUAAUUAGAAAAACUGAGCAAGUGGCUGAAAGGGGAAAUCAAUUCAGGAGAAAAAAAGAGUGCAGUGGCUUAUGUAUUAAGAGUUUUUCAAGCAACCAGAUGAACCAGAAAUUAGCAUUUCUUCCAGGAUACAGAGGGGAAAAAAUGAAGAGAUGGUUAAGAAAAUGUCAACCACAUAGAUUUGCAUAAUCAAAAGCAUUUUGUAGUCACCCACUUACCCAAAAUUGUAAAAGAAACCAAAAACUUGGCAUGACUCUUUAGACAAAAGAAAAUAAUGCAAUCAGCUGCCUUCCAUUCUAACUUUUCCAAGAUUAUACCCAUUGUAAAAAACCAAAACUUGUCUAAGUUACCACUUUCACAGUUAGAAGUGACACCUUAUUAUCAGCCAGUUCAUCUUCAUACAAAACUACCUGCGUAACAAACAUGAAAACUUCCCUAAAUGCAAACUUAAGAAUGUUAAGAAAAGCAUACAAAAUACAAUGCAUCGUCUUCCAUACCAUGUUUAUAGUUUAAGACACUGACCUCAUCACAGAAAAGAAUUGGUUCUUUUCAUGUGAGCGCAGCGACAUCAAGCCGCAGUGUGCAAUCCUCCCAAUGGAGGCCUGAGCUCCCCUCUGAAAUUUCUUCCCUUGGGUUCUGAUUGCAAUUUAAAAUGACAACAAAAUCAUCAUCAAUCACUAUCCUAAAUAUCCUAGGACACAAAAAUAAACCUUUGCAAAGUUUCCUAGUCUCUAAAUGCUCAAACAAAAAUAGCUAAUGCAUGACAUAGAACAAAAGCCUAAUUCUAGCAGCUCCUUUAAAAGAAAAUACACCUUGUCUGAAUCAAACUCAACAUGUCACUUCCACAGUCAUAGUCCAAUAUCCUGCUGGAACGGUUUACUGAAACAUCCAAACAAUCAAUUUUGCUUCACUUUUAGUUUAAUAUUCAAAAGUAAAAUAAAAUCAAACUAAAUGAUCGUAAAACUGAAUUUAAAUCACCAAAAACGUUAAAUAAAAUAAUCGACAUUUCUUUUUACCUUCUGAAUUUCCAUUGAGCAGCAGAAGGGACUUUAACAGGAGGCAAACCUUCAUGUUUCCAACCGGAAAAAGCAUCUAAUGCAUUGAAACGUAUAUCGUUGCCGCUUGCGACGUCUUUAAGAGAACCAAACAACUUUCACCGAAUAUCAUUUCCGGUAAAGUGGCGAAGUUUGGAGUCUUUGUUCCCAUUAUUGGAGAGCCAAUAAGCUGAGAAUCAAGCGGUUACGAGAAUCGAUCUCCCGUCCAUGGAAAAACAAAAAGUCGGCUCCCGCCGAUUUUAGUUCUUCCUCGUCUACUUCUACUUCCAUUGUUCGCCGAUUUUACGAAUUUUCGACUCUUUUUUUUCUCCUCUAUUUCACCGGCUCGGAUCGCAUUUGGGCGCCAAAACCCAAUAUGAAUUUGUAAAGCCCAUUCAGUUCAUUUGAAACCAAAGCCCAAUGGAUCAUUAAUAAACUAGACCUGAUCAUCAGUCAGGCCCACUCUAAAAGUAUGAGAGUUUAGGCAAAACUAUAAACUCAAAAAAUGAGUUUGGAGAAAAAUAAUGCUCAUUUUCUAAAUGAGUCGGGCCUCGAGUAGAAUUUUUAUCUUGGGUCCGACCUGGCCCGAAUUACAUGCAUAUACUUUUUUUUUCUAUUUUCAAUUUAUUGGAAAAUUUUUUUAAUAUUUUGGUGUAAUUGAUGUAUUAUAUUUUUUAAAUUUAUUUUCAUAUAAAAAAUAAUCUAAAAAUAUUAAUACAGUUGGAUCAGGCUCGGUUUAGCAUUUUUAAUAUGGGUCAAACUUGGGCAAAAUUCUAGGCCCAUUCUUUGAGUCAACCUUGGGCCUAAAUUCUAUAUCGAUUUGGCCUAACCUAUGACCAGGUAUAUGAUAAACAAAUCUUUGUAAGAAAAUUACAUAUCUGUAAUAAGAAGAGGUGUUCAUGACUCGGGUCGAAAUUCAAUUCCAUAAAUAUUCAAGUUCGAAUAAUUCGUUCUUGUCAGUCCAAAUGAAUCAAUUUAUAAUUGUAUACCUCAGUGUUACAAUGAUUUGUGACUCCCAAGUAACAUGAAAAUAUUUUUUAGGAAUUGCUUUAUCAUAUUAUUUUAACUCAAAUACAUUUAUCUUUAUAUAAUUAUAUUCGAAUUUCAUUUCAUUUGAUUGGAUUUGUUAAAUUUUUAAAUCAAAUUUGAUUGGUAAAAUAAGACUUAUUAACUCGAAUAAUUUAGAAUUUUUUUUUUACUCAAUCAAAUGCUAACUACUACCUAUUAAUGUGUAACUUUUUAAUAUCAUAAUUAUGUUUAAAUAUUUUAUGUUAUAUAUAAAUUUUGAUACAUUAAUAAAUUGUAUUCGUGUUAUGCCAUAAACAUUUAAGGUAACUAUCACCUCAAUCAAUAGCUUGAAUUAAAUAAUUAACUCAACAACUAACUCGUCUUAAACUAACUAAUUAAAACAAACUUAGUAAAGAACCUACAUAUUAACAUAUGAUAUGACUCCAGAAUAUAAAAUUUCGAAGUUCCUAAUACCUCAACUUUAUUAUUAAACCAAAACCUCAUUCGCAUAUGCUGAGUCAAUAAAUAUGCACUACCAAAUUCAUAUUCAUGGGUCUAUAUUGUUGUAAGUUUUUUCGAGGUUUUCAAUUUUUAACUGACAAACUAGUUGUGACGAGAAUAUUUUCAACUUAAUCCGAUCAUAAUAACUAAAGUUAUUUGUUAACGAGAAAAAUAAUUUCAACAAAUUUUCUCUUAAAAUCUUAGUGAUCGAAAAAAUAAAAAGAGAUUAAUUAUUAUACACUUCUUCGAUAACCAUGAAUUAAAAGUGAAAUUCUAUUGCUUUUAACUAGACUCCAUAAUAUUGUUUUCUCUAAGUUUUAUUUACUAUGUUUCUAAUAAAUUUUUUAAUUAAAAAAUACCCUUUUAUUUUUAAUUACUUAUUUUGCUAAAGAAAUAAGCUCAUCAUUGAUCUAUGUGGGUUCGACCUUACUCAGUAUUAGAUACAUAUAUUAUAUUUUUUAGUAAAAUAUCAUAUUUGGAUUUAGCACUCACAAUUAAUAGGAAUAUUUUCUUAAUAAAAUUAACAAUCUCGCUAGUAAAAAUAUUGGUAGCACUAAAUCAAAGUCCGUUUCUAAAAAAAAUUUUAAGUUUAAAUUCAAACUCGAUUUGAUUUAUCUAAAUGACACAUUUCAUUAUUUAAAAAGAAUAUACAAUUUAUAAGCUAUUAGAAAAGGAAAGGGGAAGAGUUUUCACACAUAGGAUUCAAAUCAUGAACCAGAAGCAAACAAACUUAGAAAUUAAACCAAUAACUUAUUAGUGCUUUAACAAAUAAAUUUUAUAUUAAUAUAUUUUUUCUAUAAUUAAAAGUUAAAUAAAAAUACUUUACGAUAAAUUUAAAAAAAAAAUUAUAUUGGGUUUGAGCGGCCCGAGACAAAAAAUUCCUUAUCCAAAUCAAGAGCAAAGUUAGAAAAUCGCUUUAAGAGGCUAAAAAUGAAGGGGAUGCCGAAAUAUAAUUUUGCUAUCAUAUUGACUUGUAAGUUAAUAAAUUCUGAAUGGACUAUAUAACCAAUUUACCAUUUUUGGGUCAAUGCCAGUUGAGACUUCAGAGUUGUACUUCCCCUAAGUCAAGUGCAAAAAAAAAAAAAAAAAAACCACAAAGAUACAAAUAUAAAAUUAGAAAAAAAAAAGAUUUGAUAAAUGAUAAUAUCAUGUGCAUGCUUAUAUAUUUUUUAGGAAGAAAACACUGAAAGUCGGUGGGAAAUUGGAAUUUUGGUUUUGUUUGGAAUCUAUGAUUAUAAGCCCCCCUUUUGAGUUUGACCGAAAUAUUAAGAACCGACCGACCUUCUGAUUUUUUUUUCUAAAUAUUUAAUCUCUUAAUUACAGCAUUAGGAAUUUGAUAAUUCAGACUUAAAUCUAAGAUUUGUUUUUUUAAUAAUUUUUUAUUAUUGUCGAUUGAGCCUUAAUUUUAUUGACAUUGUCAAUGCAGGAGGACGUAAAUUCAAAUACACUGAAGCAUAUUAUCUUCUUAUUUACGAGUUAGAGAGGGACUAUAGAUAAUUUUAAACAUUAUAUCAAAAAGAACUGAUACGAUGAUAAUAAUAUAUAAUGAAUAUUUUAAUAUAAAAUCUAAAAUUUCACUAAAGAUAAAUAAAAUUAGAGGAUUUUUAAUUAAUAUUAUAUUUAAUUUUCAAAUUGUUACUAUUGCAUAUCACCUCCCUCGAAUCUAACCUAAAAUGCAUAGAAUUAUUAAUUAGAAUAUAUAACUAAUGGACGGUUAAGUGCUAAAUUAAUUGAUCAAAAUUAAAAUUAUACAUUUUUUCAAAUGCCACACAGCCUUGCCUGUCCCCUGAUUUCACCUCAAAUAAAUUAAUCAAUUAAGGCUAAAUUUCGUAUAAGGUCCUUGUACUGUAUGUUCUAUGCGGAAUUUGGUAUCUUGUAUAAUUGGACAAUAUUUUGCACAUUUACAAAUGAAAGAAAAAAAACAAAGGAGAAAGUGUAUUAUAUAUCAAUUUGUACAAAAAGUUAGUCGUAGGACUAAAAAUACACAUUUCAAAAAGUAGAGGACUAGAAAUGAUUAAAUUAUAAAAAUAUUAAGGUGUUGUUUGAUAAACAAAAAAAAAUUAAGUGGUAAUAUUAAAUUUAAAGUUAAUAAAAUCUAUUUGGAAUAUUACUUAAAGUUAAUAUGUAAUGAACCGAAAGUUACGGUAUCGGAAAUUGAGUCUUGAGUACUGUUUCCGUGAAAUUAAUUCAUGAAUAUUUAUUAGAAAUAUUUAUGAAUUAUAGUUGAAUGGUUAUUUAGUGUUUAAUUAAGUGAAGUAGCUUGAAUUUAGUUUAAAGGACUAAAUUGCAUACGGUAUAAAAGUUUAAAUAUAGAUUAAAGAUUAAUAAAGGGACUAAUCUAGCAAUUAGACCCUAAGUGACAUGUGUGUGUUAAUAUUGAAUAACAUGUGUAAUAGUUGGUAAAGAUAUUAAAUGUGUUAAAGUAGUUUUUCUUAUAGAUUAAGUUAUUUUAUUAGAAUAAUAUUAUAUUAUUAAUAUUAUUAUAUUGAAUAUAGAUUUAUGAGUAAGUUAAAAAAAAAAAAAGAGAAAGAAAGAAAGAUAGAAAAGUUACAGAGAGCAAACGUGAGAAAGAAAGAAGGAAAGAAAGAAAGAAAUAGAAAAGGAAAAUUUGAGGAUUAAGGCCCUAAAGUUUAAUUGGUAAGUUGUUUUAGCUCAUUUUCUUAUGAUUUUUAUGUUUAUGGAUGCCUAAUUCAAAGUUCUACAUGUAUGAGGUUAAAAUGAAGAAAAAUAGAAAAUUUUUAGAUAUUGAUUUAGUUGAAUAAAUUGAGGUUUUAUGGGUUAAAUUGAUAGAAAUUGAAGUUAGAAGUGAAAAUUGAGUGAUUUAUUAAAAGAAUUCUAAGUUAAGUUUAAAUAGGGAUUAAGUUGAAUAGAGCUCAAAAUUUAUGUUUUAUAAUGAAUUUUAUGAGUUAGAAAUUGUUAAUGGGUUGAUUAAAGGAGAAUAUGAAGCUUAAGUUAAAGAAAAAAAGAUUAGUAAUGGAAAAAGGACGAAAUUGGAAUUUUUGUAAAAGUUUGAUAGAAAGUGAAAAUGUGUUUUAUGAAUUAGUAUAUUGAUGAUUUUUAAUUGUAUGAUUGUUAGUAGCAAACGUAGCACCGGAUACGUCAUCAAAGAAGGGAAAAGAGAAAGUGAACGAAGAUAUCGAUUAAAUUCGAUAAAUAGUGGUUUGUAUUUCUAUAAACCGAGCUUAAUCGUUAUUGUUAUAUUUGAUAUUUAUAUUGUAUGAAAAUGUGAAUGAGGUAAGUAUUUUUACCAUAUUGAAAUGAAUGUGAUUUUGAAUACCCUAUUAGCAGUGUCGGGCUAGUCGGAUAUAGUUGACAUGUCAUAGGAAUUGGAAGUAUUGGGAUAUUCCGACAUUGAGUCGAUGAGACACUAUGUGUCGACUACUGUUAAAGUUCCGGAUUUGUUCCGAUGAAGUACUUUGUGUACUAUAAUCUUAAAGUUCCGGAUUUGUUCCGAUGAAGCACUAUGUGCUUAUCCCGGAGUGUGGGUUGGAUCCGUGUAUCCGUCAGUGUCCGAGUUAUGUUAAUAAGGGUAAAUAAAGUAAAGAUUAUUAAAGUACUGAUUGAUAUUGAAUAAUAGCAAUAAUGUGUUUGAAUUACCAUGUUUUAAAGUUGAUUAAGCUAUUGUUUAUAGAAAUACCACUGAGAGUAUUCUCAGCGUACGGUUUGUUUCCGUGCGCAGACUAGGUACGAAAGUAUAAGGACUCAGCGUACAAGCCGAUCCCCGAACUCAAAUUGGUGAAGUUUCUAUCUUUUUGGGAAAAUGGCAUUGUACCUAGGAUGUCUUCUGGUCAUUUUGAAAGUAUCUAAGUUGUUAAGUGAUAUUUCGGAAUGUUUUGUAAAUGUUACCAAAACCUUAAGUAUGGUAUGUUUUGAUAUGUUAGUGAAGAGUAAUGAGAGGAAUUGUUGGUAAAUGUUGUAGAGAGAAGAAAUGAAGAUGUUAUAAACUUAGUUAUCAACAUUUUUUACUAAAACAGAUUUGGACAGUAGCGGUAGUCCAACUUUGAAAAUAUACCAAAAAUAGUAUAAAGUGAAUUAGAUAAUGAAUAAAAUUUUUAAUUGAAGCUUAAUGAAUCUAUUUUUAUAUGGAAGAAACAAAAUAGGUAAAAGAGUUGUAUUUUAUGAGAUAUUUACGUUUUGGUGAAACAGGGUUAGAACAAUUUCUGGAUUCUCUAUUCUGACUUUAGAAAUUCACCAUAAAUUGUGUAUUAAGAAUUAGGACUCAAACUUUAUUUGUAUGGAUUACUUAUUGAGUCUAUUUUUAAUUGAAACAAAUGGCAUAGUCAUUGGAUUUCUGUACAGGAAGAAAUUUGAUUCGUAGUGCACAAGGGUCAGAGUAGCCGAACCCUGAAACAGGGGAGAAUUCUUCUAAUAAACUGUACUAAUUGGCCCUGACAAAAAAUUCUAGAAAAAAAUUAGUAAGUAGAUAUAUGAGUCUAGUUUCAGGAAAAAUUUACGGAAUUGGAUUUUGAGUUUCGUAACUCGAGAUAUGAUUUUUUUAGCGACCGUGACGCAGAUGGAUAGUUUACUACGAAAACUGUUUAAGUGCUAAGAUAAGUUUUGUAAUGUCUCCUGCUUGACUCCGGCAACGGUCUCGGGUAGGGGGACGUUACAUAAUAGCUAGACUGUUUGAUAAAUAUAAAUUUUAAAUUAUGAUUUUUUUAUUAUUUUUAUUUUAUAAUAUUUAAUAUCAGAUUUUAAAGCUAAUUUUUUUAAGGACAAUAUAAUGCUAAAAGAAAUAAAAUAAAUUGAAAAUAUUCUCCAUUAAGCGAUAAAUUGUUCCUUAUCUAUUUAUCUUUAUCCACAUUUUUAUAGGAAAAUUCUAUCACGUGAUUAUUUUUAGAUUAUUAAACAUGUGUAAAAAAGUAAUUCACAGAAAAACAUAGGCACAAUAAUAAAUUUAGCCCUCAAUGUUUAUAUCUUUGGUCAAUUUAGUCAUUAUUCUUUUUUGAGUUAAAUUUGGCCAUUAACCUUUUUAAAAGUUAAAUCGUUUAACAGAAACGCUGACUAAAAAAUUAAUUCUUUAACAGUAUAUGUGUAGCAACCCGCGUGGUAGUCCAUGUGUACUUCAUGUUAACAUAACAAUAUUUGUUUUAUAUGUUACAUCAACAAAUAAUUUUAAAUAUGUAGAAAUAUUUAAAAAUAAUAAAAUUUAAAAUAUAUAUAAUGUAUAAAAAUUCAAAAAUAGCAUGAAAUACAUGUGGAUUGCCAUGUUUAGAUAUUUAAUGUUUUAGUCAGUAUUCUCGUUGAAAAAGUUUGAAAGUCCGUUGGUCAAAUUCGACUUGUUUUGAAAGGCUUUGGGGUCAAAUUUAGUUUUUUUUUAAAUAAAAAAAAGAAUAAGAGUCAAAUUGAUAAAAGAUGUAAACAUAAGGGCUAAAUUUAUCAUUAUGCUAAAAGCAUAUUAUACAAAGAUCUUUUAUAAAAUUUGACCUUAAUUAAAUUUAGGGUAAAAUGCAUUAUUGGUCACCAAACUUUUAUAAGUUUUCAUUUUAGGCACAAUUGUUAAAAAUUAUUUUCAUUUUAACCAUCUUCGUUAAAAACCAUUUUUAUUUUGGUCACCCGCUGUUUAUUCAAUGUUAUUAUUCAUUCAUAUUAGUCACCAAUUUUAAUAAUUUUUCAUUUUAGUCACUCAUUUCCCUUUUAAUUUCUUUAUAAAAAAGGAAAAAGAAAACUUGAGUUUUACUAGAAUUGAGUCAUUCAGCUGAGAUAAUAUCCAAGCUUCUCCCUAUAAAUCAAUUCAUUGUAAAAACUUUCAAUUUUCCCUUGUAAAAACACAAGCUUUUCCCUUGUUAUUGAAAAAAAAACUAAAAUUAAUUUUAAAAUAGAGGGGGAAAAGAAAAUUAAAAAGAUUAGAUGAUUUUUCUUGUAAAAAUUCAAAUAAUUUCAUGUAAAACUCUAAAUUUUUUCCUUUUACUAGGAAAAAAAAUUAAAACUAAUUAAAAAGAUAAAAUGAUUUCCCCAUAAAGUGAUAAAAUGAUUUCCCCAUAAAGUCCCAAUUAAAUCCCAUGUUUUUCCUUUUUAUUGAAAAUUUAAAAAUAAAUCUAAAAAAUUGAAAAUAAAUUAAAAAGAUAAAUUAAGUGACCAAAAUAAAAACUUAAUAAAGUUGGGUAGCUAAAAUGAAUAUAUAAUAACAUUGAAUUAACGACGUGUGGUUAAUGAAAACAAUUUUUAACGGUAUUGCCUAAAAUAAUUUUUUUUUUCCUAUGCUUAAAACGAAAACUUAUAAAAGUUAAGUGACUAACUUUGUAGUUCACCUUAAACGUAAUAGUAGUUUACUUUAUAUAUUUGUUGGUAAAAGGAAAAAAUGGACAAAUUAGCCCCUGAAUGAGUGAGCAUGAUAGCCCUUCCAUUAAAAAUUGGUAUUUAUAUAUAAUGUAUAAUAAAAAAUUUAGCCCUCAAUCUUUAUACAUUUGUUCAAUUUGACCCCUACUCUUUUAUUGAAAGUAAAAUAGAAAAAUUUUAAACUAACAAGGGUAAAGGGUCAAAAAGGCCUUAGUAACAAGUUAAAAAAAUCAAUUAAAUCCUUUUAAAAAUUAAAAAUUAUUAAAAUAUUAUAAAAAGUUAUACAAAUUUUAAAUUAUAAGUUUCUUAUUAAAGAAUAACAAUACCGACCCAUUCAAAUCUAAUGGUCAAAAGAUUUUAAAAAAAUUUGAGCCCCACACUUUUAUUUGAUCGAUAUUGUUAUUUUUUUGAUUUUUUUAAUAAUUUUUUGUUAUGAUUUUUUUUGUAAUAAUAUUUAAAUUUUAAAAGGGUUUAAAUGAAUUUUUAAGAAUUUCUUACUAAGGUUUUCUUUGACCCUUUAGCUUUAUUAGUUUAAAUAAUUUCUAAUUUACUUCUAAUAAAAGAGUAGGGGUCGAAUUGAAUAAAUAUGUAAAGAUUGAGUAUUAAAUUUGUCAUUAUACCUUAUAUAUAAACACCAAAACAAACCUUUAACUAUUUCAUUUUUAUGAAUCGUCUAAGGUAUAAUGACAAAUUUACCAAUUUUUCAAUAGAAACUAAAAUAGAAUCCAAAAUAUACUAGGGAGAUUUCCUGACACUUUUUCCUAUAAUCGUUAAAUUAGUGAACUAAGAAAAAACAACUUAUAUUGAAAUUAAUUAAUUAAGAUUUACUUAAUUAACAUAACUAAUUUGAUGACUAAUUAUAUAAUGUUUCUUUAUAGGUGGUCCUUCCAUCGUACCACUUAAAUUUGAACAUUUUUUUUCCCGACCGGCUGAUAAAGUGUCAUUUUCGCUUAAACUAAUUAUUUUGAUUUGUAUCUUGAUAUUCGAAAACAUUUUUUAUGUCAGUUAACUUUUGUUGUGGGAUGUCUACAUUUUUCAAAUAACUUUUGAAGUGUUAUCAUCUAAAAUUGAUGGAUUUUUUAACGGGUUGGUAUUUUUUUCGAGCUAAAUUAGGAUUUUGUUUCCACACUUUAUAAAGAAUUCGAGUAUUUGAGGUGUCAAGUUCAACAGAAUAGUAGCAUCUCGUUAAAUUAGACCAUGUGUAGGGCACGACUACCUAUCAAGGGACGGGGACAUCUUUAUUUGGUAGGGUUUGAACACAUGCCCCUUAAAUGAUCACAAUAAACAUGUAUGUUACCACUUUAUCAAGGUGUCAAAUUUUACGAGAUGCUCUCGCUCGAUUGAAUUCCACGCCUCAAACACUCAAGCUCUUUAUAGAGUUAGGAAACAAAAUCUCGACUUAAUCCAGGGACAAUACUGACAUGUUAAAAAGCCCACAAACUUUAAAUCAGUAACACUUUAAAAACUUCUUCGAAAUGAAUCCAAUAAACAAUUAAAUAAAUACUUGUAUAUUGAGCAAUUCAAAUUUAUAGUUGGAUUUAUAUAAAUACGAAGUAGCAAAUUAGGAUGGAAUCCGGAUCUUAUAUCACCGGAAUUUCAACCCACACAGGUGUUUGUCACAUACCAGUUGGUCCCAAAUCCCAAUUAUAAAUUGAUUUUUUUUAUAAUAAUGGUCAAAUUUAUUUCGUUAUCAAUCGAUAUAUUUAAUCUUUAAUAAAAAUACACAAUAAAAUUUUAAUUUAAUAUGGAAAUAUAAUUUAUCGAUCGGUACGUGAUAUAAAUUUAAACAGUAUGAUCAGUUUUGGUCGUUUUCAUUUUGGCACUUUGUGUGACACCAAAAUUACAAUAAUUAGUUAUGUUUAGGUAACGAAAUUUGGAAUUAUCUUAGCAACUUUAUUUAUUAAUUAAAUCUUUUAUAUUUUAACAAUAUGUUUGUGUACUUGUUAUGAAACAUUGUUCCACAAAUUCGUGUCGUGUUCAUCCCAAUUAAUAUAAUAAAUAAUGCAUUUUUCGCAAGGGAAAUAAUCAAAUAAUAAAAUAAAUUUUUAAAAAGAUUUGCAUGGUAGACUGACCUUAUUACAAGCAUUUAAUAUUAUGUUUUGUCUGUUUUUUUUAAAUUAUUAUUUUUAAUUCUUUAUUUUUUUGAAUGAAAGACCAAGAUAAUGUAACGACGGCUAAACCAUGUUAACUUAAUAAAGACAACGAUUUAAUAACAACAAGAUUAAUAUGACUCGAAUUUAAGUUACACUUAAAACGUUGAAUACCUAUGAAUUUUUUAAAUUUAAUUUUUUUUCUUAAUUGAAGACUUAAGGACAAUGUAAUGACGGUUUAGUCCUGUUAUUAUAUUUAUUUAAGAUUCUUUCUUACUACUACAAUUUUAUAUUUAUAUUCUGACAGUUGCUGAUCAUUUAAAUUAUUAUAAUUGCACAAAUAUGUGAUUGGAUUGUAUAAAAAUAAAUAUGAUUGGAUUUAAAUUAAAAUAAAAUAUUUAUUGUGAAAUAUUAAUUUUAAAAUCUAAAUUUUUUAAAGCCUCGUUGUUAUUAUUAAAUUAAAACCUCAUCAAUUUAUUUUUAAAUUUUAGAUUAAAUUGAAUAUAUUUAAUCCUUGAAUUUUAUUUUCUGUGUAAUUACAAGGAAAUAUUUACUAUGGGAAUGGAAAAUAAAAGAUUAAGGUUAUCAAUAUUAAAUAUUUUUUCGCGUGGCAUACUUUUUAGAGUCAAUGUUCUUAAUUUUAUAAAAUUAUUUUAUUUUUUUGCACGGUAAAAAAAAAAGAGAGACGAAUUCGAAUAACUCAAGUUUAAAUUUAAUUAUGAAAAAUUAUAAAUAAAUUUAAUAGAGUUCAAAUAACUCAUUUAUGCCUCGAGCCGAAUUCGGUUUGAAAAUCAAAGACGAAAAUUAAAAGUAUUUGGUUUCUUAUAAAAAAAAAUUAUUAUUGAAAUUUGAAGUAACAUAAAAAAUAUUUUAAAAAAAACUAGUGAUUUUAAUUUGAAUAUUGAAAUAAAAAUGGAUUAAUUAUUACUUAAUAAACAAAUUUUUGUCAAAAGAAAAUAGUGCAGAAGGUGGGGGCAUUUGUCUCACGUGGCGGCAGCCCAUCGAUAUCAAGUGCCAACCAUUUUACUAGAAACCAGCCGCGUGGUUAUGUGACGCGUAGCAGUGGACUUCCCUUUUCGCCCUUGUGCUCCCCUAACAUGGCGGUCACCUAACCCCACAUGACUGCCUCAUUUCUUGCCAUGCCUACGUGUUGUGACACCCACCUUGUCCCCUCCCACCACUACACUUUACUGUACAAUUAGUUAAAAUAAUCUUCACACUUCAAUUUUUUUUUUUAAUCUUCAAAAUGUAUCUGCACAAAUUUUAACAUUAAUUUCUUCAAAAAAACAAACAAACAAACAAACAUCCAAUUUUUCUAGAGUCUAACUGUCAAUCUACUUCCUUUACCACGUUGAAAUUCGAGUUUUAGUCCCUCUUCUUUAUUUUGGUUAUAAUACAAUAAAUAAAUCUUUUUUCUUUUAUAAUAUUACAAAUAGGUCCAAUUUAGUAAUACCAUAACUUGUCCUUAAGUUAUAAUCUCAUUAAAUAUUCGGUUACGUGUAAUUUAUUAAGGUAAACUAUCAAAAUAAUCAUUUUUGUUUACCUCAGGUUACAUUUUAGUCACUUAUGUUUGAAAUGUUAUGUUUUAGUCACCGAGCUAUUAAUUGUUAAUAACGGUGUAAUGGUAAGCUAAUGUAGCACAUUAAAUCAUCAUUUCAAAUGAAAUUUUUAGGUUAAAUUCUACAAUUGAUCAUUAUUUUUUUUAUUUUGAGCAAUUUAAAUUUUUUAUUUUAUGUUAUUUUAACUUUUUUUCCAUUUUUUUCUACUUCUCCUUCUGUUUUACUCCCUUCUUCAUUUCUUCUAACAUAGUUUUUCUACGUUUUUCAUUUGUUAAAACUAGUCCACAAACUCGCCUCACUCAAAAAAAUUAAAUUGUUCAAAAAAUAAAUAAAAGUAUACAAACUAGUUUUAACAAAUGAAAAAUAUAGAAAAACUACGUUAAAAGAAACAGAGAAGGGAGAAAAACCAAGUGAGAAGUAGAAAAGAAUGGAAAAAAAAAAGAAAAAAAAAAGAAGGAAAGUUGAAAAAACAUAAAAGAAAAAAAUUAAAUUGCUCAAAACGAAAAAGUAUGAGAAUUGAGUAUAAAUUAACCUAAAUUUUUUGUUUGAAAUGAUGAUUUAACGUGCCACGUCAGCUUACCGUUACACUGUUAAUGUCAAUUAACGGACCAGUAACUAAAAUGUUACAACGCGAUAACAUAAGUGACUAAAAUGUAAUCUAAGCUAAACAAAAGUGACUAUUUUGAUAAUUUACUCAAUUUAUUAUUUCUUGAAUAUAAUUAAUUGAUUUUUACGUGAUCUUAUAUGAAUAAAUAAUUGUAAAAAAAAUCUACGUUAUCAUUUUAACCGUAAUAAAUUUCGAAAUUACAUCUAAAUAAGUUUUUUUUUAAGUAAAUAAACUUUCAUUUAAAUAAUAACUUAUAAAAUGAAAAGGAUGAAAACUUAUUUAAAUAAAGUAAAAGGUUUAACUCUAAUAUUGGUAUCUAAAUUAUACUUUUUUUUUCUAUUUUAGUAGAGUUGAUCAUGGGUUGGGCCGGGCCUAUACAAAAUUUUAGGCCCGGCCCGGCCCGGAAUAUGGGCCUAAAAAUUUGUCCAAGCCCGGCUCGAAAUAAAAUUACUAAGCCCGAGCUCGGCCCGACCCGGCCCAUAUUAAUUUUUUUUCUUAUUUCAUUAAAUAAAAAAAUUUUAAAAUAUAAUAAAUCAAAUAUAUUUAAAAACAUAAAAACAAAUAUUAAAACAAAUAAAAAUGAUACUAAAAUAAUUCUUAAAACAAUACACAAAUUGACAAUAUAAUAAAAAAUGGUUAUAUUAAAAAUUUAAAAUGAUUAAAAAUAAAAUAUAAUAAUAUAUAAUUCGGGCCGGGCCGGGCCCCGGCCAAAAAAUCUUACCCGAGGCCCGGCCUGUUUUUUUGCCCAAGCCCAUUUUUCGGGCCUAUAUUUUUACCCAAACCCUCCAAUUUUUCGGGCGGGCCUUCGGGCCGGGCCGGUCCGGGCCGCCCGACCCAUGAUCAGCUCUAUAUUUUAGUACCUAAACUUAUUUUUGGUUAUAAGUGAUACUUAAAUUACUUUUUUUUUCUCAAGUUGGUAUCUCUAUUAGUCAAACCGUUAAGUCUAUUUUAAAAAAAAGACUUAACCACAAAAUAGUACCUAAAUUCUGGAAAGUUCCAUUUUGGUACCAAGACUAUUUUAUUUUUCAAGUUAAUACUUAUGUUAGUUCAAUCGUUAGUUAAACUAUUAAAUAUAUUUAAAAAGAAAAGAUAACCAAAUAAAAACUGACACAUGACAAAAAGGAUAAUCUUUUAUAUAUUUUUUCUUUUUCCUUUUUAUUUUCUUCUUUCUUCGGAACCAGACGGAUGGUAGAUAAAAAAAAAGUAAUAAAAGGAAUAUGGAAGAUAAAAUAAUUAAAUUAUAUAUAUUUUAAGUUUAUAUGAUGCGGUGAUUUAUUAUUGGUUGAAAUUUUUUUACGAAUAUAACAAUUUGGUGUAAAAUGAGGAACAAAUGAAUCUUUUAGGUACUGCUUGUGACAAAAAAAAAAGUUUAGGUACCAACUUGAAAAACAAAAGGUACACUUUUGCCAAUAAUUUGUAGGUUAAGCCUUUUCUAAUAUAUAUUUAACGAUUUGACUAACGAUUGGACUAAUAAAUGUAUUAACUUGGGGAAAAAAGUAAUAUAGGUACCACUUGUGACAAAAAAAAAUUCAGCUAUCAAGAUGGGAAAAAAAUAUAUAGUUUAGAUGUCAAUUUGUGGAUUAAGCCUAAAAUAAAAUAUAAAGAUUAUUAGGUUUUUACUUGUAAAUGGCUUUUUCCCCUAAUAUUUAAGUUUAUCGUUUUGAUUUGGUGUUUUUCAAGGUUAAUGUAUUACUUGAUACUUAAGUCAUUUGUUUAGUUUGGUACUUGAGUUUUUUUUUUUCAAUCAAGUAUCUUAGUUUAGCUUUAAUGUUCAAUUGGGUAUUUGAGUUUUUUUUAUCCCAAUUAAGUACUUAUGUUUUUUUAUUGGAGUACACGUGUCAAAUAUUCAUUGGUCCAUAUGGUCCCGUUUGAUUUGAGUACUGAGUUGAACAUUGAAGUAAACUAAAAUACCAAAUUAUACACUAAAGACAAACUGAGGUACCAAAAUAUAUAUUAAUCUUAUUUGUUUAAACAAAUCUUAAACUACCUACAAACCCUUCAAAUCCGUAAAUGGAAAGUUAAGACGAGUUUAAGUGUGUCCAGACUUACGUCCUCCAAAUUAUUGCAAUUAAUGUUUUAAAAAUGAUGGUCAACUUAAUUAAACUAUUGUUAUCGGUGUACUCAAUUUGAACGUCAGCCCGACAAUAAUGAAAUAAAUAAUUAAAAACAUAAAAUAAUAUAUAAAUUAAUUUGCCUAUCAAAUUUUUUUAUUGAUUCCAAAUAAUUUAACUAAUUUAAUUUUUUAUCCAAAUUAUUAUAUCAUUUAGUAUUUAAUUAAAUUAAUCCGAUUCAUACAUCCGAACCGGUCCGAUAUGGUUUGUAGAACUCUGAAUGAGACCACAACGACAACAAUGUAAUGGAGGCUAUUUCUUUUUGUUUGUUUCUAUUUUUUUUUUUGCGCAACUUAUCCGUGUAAGUGCGUGAGCCAUCAUCCACCUUGCAAGCUCCCACCUUUUGUCGGGCCCACAUCGAAGCAAGAUGACGUGGCACUUUCACUUCCAAAGUCUCGGCCUCUUCCCCCUAUUUAAACCGUCAUCGAAGACUCGAACAUCCCCAAGCUCACAUCACAGUCCACACCAAAAAAACUCCCUUCUUUUUCUUUUUCCUACAAUACGAGCGCUUUAAUUCUUGUUCUCCAAUCGUUCGAUAAAAUUUCCCCUUCAAAAAAAAAUGGCCGUCGAUUCGCCUCUCUCGUCUCCGCUAGGUCCGCCAGCGUGCGAGAAAGAUGCGAAAGCUUUGCAGUUCAUCGAGGAAAUGACUCGAAAUGCCGAGUCCGUUCAACAGAGAGUCCUCGCUGAAAUCUUAUCCCGAAACGCAGAGACUGAGUACCUCAGACGGUUCCAACUCAACGGUGCAACCGACCGAGAAACUUUCAAGUCCAAGCUCCCGGUCAUUACUUACGAGGACCUUCAGCCUGAAAUCCAUCGUAUUGCUAAUGGCGACCGCUCUGCUAUUUUAUCUGCCCAACCCAUCUCAGAAUUCCUCACCAGGUUCGUAUAUAAUAUAUAAUAUAUGAUUAUGAACUGUACUUAAAGAAAAGGUAUAAUUUCGGGUUUAGCCCUUCUAUUAUGUUAAACUUUGUUAUUUCUUUAAUUGCCAUCAUUAAAGCAAUGACCUGGAUUCGUUUACUAUUUAUUUGGUCUCAAUUUCGGGACCAAAUGAAAAUUCGGUUCAUCAUAUUCAAUUAAUAGCAAAUUUACAUCUUAACCGAAUACUUCAAAGACAGUAACUAUAAUGUUAUCAAUUUGUACAAACGGUCUAAAUUAUGACAAAUUCAAUUAGAAGGUUUAAAUUCUAAAUUUCAACAUAAUAAGAGGACUAAAACUAGAAUUAGACUACAAAUAAUGAGAUCCAUGUAUGUUUCUAUAUUGAUGCUGAUAAAUUUUCCUGGAAAAUCGUGCAGCUCCGGGACAUCAGCUGGUGAGAGGAAACUCAUGCCUACAAUUAAAGAAGAGCUAGAUCGCCGUCAGUUGCUUUACAGUUUGCUCAUGCCAGUGAUGAAUCUGUAAGUAUUUGGGAAAAAAAAGGUUAAAUUUUGGUUUUGGUCCAUUUGCUGUGCUAAAUUUAAGAUUUAAUAUUCAUUUUUAGUUUCUCAUAAUUUGAUUUUUUUGUCUUUUACAAAAAAAAACUAUUAUUUAGUACAAUAGUUAACACUGUUACUUAUCAUAAAAGCACAGCCAUCAUCAUAUUAUGUGAAAUUGAACUCCAUGAAUUAAAUCACUAAUUUGAGUAUAGUAGAGGAUUAAAAGUAAAAAACUGAUAGCACUGAAACAGUCAACUAAUUGUUUGUGAAGUUGUAUUAAUGGAACGCGGUUUCUAUGGAACAGUUAUGUGGCAGGCUUGGACAAAGGCAAGGGCCUAUAUUUCUUGUUCGUGAAAUCGGAGACAAGGACCCCUGGUGGUCUCUUGGCUCGCCCUGUCCUCACCAGCUACUACAAGAGCGACCAUUUCAAGACUCGCCCUUACGAUCCUUACAACGUUUACACCAGCCCCAACGAGGCCAUCCUCUGCCCCGACUCGUUUCAGAGCAUGUACACCCAGAUGCUCUGUGGCCUCCUUGACGGCCACCAAGUUCUUCGCCUCGGCGCGGUCUUCGCUUCUGGACUCCUCCGUGCAAUCAGGUUUCUUCAGCUCAACUGGAGACAACUCGCACAUGAUAUGGAAACGGGUUCCUUGAACUUGAAAAUCACUGACCCUUUAUUGAGGGAAUGCAUUGUUAAGACCCUGAAACCUAACCCCGAGCUUGCCCAGUUCGUACACCAUGAGUGUUCGAAGGAUGAUUGGGAGGGGAUCAUUGUAAGAAUUUGGCCUAACACGAAAUAUCUCGACGUCAUUGUAACCGGAGCUAUGGCGCAGUAUAUUCCAACCCUUGAUUAUUACAGUGGUGGGUUACCUUUGGCUUGCACCAUGUAUGCUUCGUCUGAAUGUUACUUUGGUUUGAACCUUAACCCCAUGUGUAAACCAUCGGAAGUUUCUUAUACCAUCAUGCCCAACAUGGCGUACUUCGAAUUCUUUCCCCACGAGCCUAAUCUUGACUCAACUGGUUUCGAUUUCACUCGUGAAUUGCCUCCUAAACUCGUCGACCUCGUGGAUGUGGAAGUUGGGAAAGAAUAUGAGCUCCUGAUCACAACCUAUGCGGGGCUAUGCAGGUACCGAGUGGGCGACAUUCUUCGCGUCACCGGUUUCCACAACUCGGCCCCGCAAUUCCAUUUCGUCAGGAGGAAAAACGUGUUGCUCAGCAUCGACUCGGACAAAACCGACGAGGCUGAGCUGCAAACAGCGGUCGAGAAUGCUUCUCACCUCCUCCGUGAGCACAAUGCCAGCGUCGUGGAGUACACGAGUCACGCCGAUACAAAAACAAUCCCUGGUCAUUACGUAGUAUACUGGGAAUUGUUGGUGAAAGACUCGACCAACUCCCCAGACAAUGAUACCCUAGAACAAUGUUGUUUAGCAAUGGAAGAGUCACUGAACUCAGUAUACCGGCAAGGGCGAGUGGCGGAUAACUCGAUUGGACCGCUAGAAAUCCGAGUGGUGAAAAACGGGACGUUUGAAGAGUUAAUGGAUUACGCAAUAUCAAGAGGAGCAUCCAUUAAUCAAUACAAGGUUCCAAGGUGUGUUAAUUUCACCCCAAUCUUGGAGUUGCUGGAUUCUAGGGUGGUAUCUGCACAUUUUAGCCCAGCUUUGCCACAUUGGUCCCCAGAAAGAAGUCAAUGAAAUGGGCAUAUAUAAAUAGAUAGAUUCUCUUUGUUUUUAUUAUUUUUUUAAAAUUAAAUUUAGUUUUUAUUAUUAUAUAAUUUUGUAGUAGCUUUUGAUGUAAGGUAAAAGUGUAAGUUGAGUAGGAUGAUUCAAAGGCUGUUUCUUUCAUGUAUGGAACGUAACAGGUAAGGUUUCUUUGCUUUAAUAUCCUGUCUUUGGCUUUUCUUCCCAGACAACAUUUUGGAAUUCAAGAUUAUAAAAAAAAGUUUUCCAAAAAUAAAAAUUAUAUUAAAAUUUAAAAAUUGUCAAAUGUCCUUUAAUUUUAUUAAAAAUAAAAAUUAAUUUUUAAAAAUAAAUAACAGUUUUCUAAAAAUAAUAAUCCUAUAUACAUUACAUGCCAUGAAAGUAGUUUUAGGAAGAUUACGUUUUGCUCUUUACAAAGAAAAAACAUUAUUAGGAGGAAUUACCACAAACCUAAAAAAAUUAAUUUUCAUCAAAUAUUAUGGCUGGCAAUGAAUUUUGAGGGCCUACUGCCUCAAAUCUGGUUGACAGUUUAGUGAGAUUCAAUGCCUGUUUCCCCUGUUUAAAGAGUUAGGGACGCAUUAGGUAAGUUGUGUAAAUUUAGGGAACCAAAUUCUAAAAUGGUUUAAAUUGAAUACUUAAACUUUUAGAGGGUCAAAAGUAUAAUAUUAUUUCAUUUAAUUAAAGUUAAAAAUUAAUUAAAUUAAAUUGUUUAAACUUUUUUGAUACAAUGCUUAGAAUUACGAAUAACCUCUUUUUGAUACAAUAUAAUCUUAUAUGAUUUAUUUAUUUAUUUUAAAUCUGCCUAAAUUAAUCUAUCUUUUGAAAAGUGAGAAUUCAUAAUAGAAAUGAUCAAGGACAAUGAAAAUAUAGCGGAAGCAACUUAAAUAUAAAGAAAUGAUGAGAGAACAAAAAAACCACAAGAAAGUAACGCUCAGGAAUUGUUUGAGUAAAUGCUCUAAAAUUAUAUUUACUAACUUUUAAUGGAUACGAUAAGAUCUAUGGGAUACUUAUAAAUGAGGGGGAAUGCCUCUAUAAUCCAACGAUACAAUUUAUUUUACAGCGAUGGUCGAGAUUAAAGUGAAUUUACGAUUGAGAUUCAUAAAGGAUUUACUUGAUUCCCUAAUAUUAAAAAAAUAAAAUCUUAUAAUAUUAAUUUUCAUAUUUACCAUGACAACCCUAAUUUUCCUUAAAUGUUUCAUUGGGUCACCAAUACUUCAAAUAGAUAAACUUCUCCAUAAUCAAAUAGUAUUAUUUUCAAAAUUUCAAGUGUGACAAGUGCCACAUGCAUGAUGAACCCGCCAUUUGAGAUGGUAGGAUUACUUUUUGAGAAAAGAAAAUCUAUCAUAUUUUUUAAAUAAUUUUAAAAUUACAACAUCUUUCUAGAUAUUUUUUAAAAUAUAAUAUUUUUAUACAAUAAAAUUUUAAAAAUAACAAAAUUUAGCUAAAUUGUCAUGUGUCAACUUCCCGUGUAAUUGCCUGACAGUCUCACAUGAAGUUGUCAUGUGUCAAUUCAACCUUUUUUUUUAAUAUAAAGUGUGACACGUGUCACAUGCAUAGUGAACCUGUCAAUUGUCAUGAUAUUUUGGUCUAAUAUACAAUUUUAUACAUAAACUUUGGUUUUGUGCAAUUUUAUAAAUUUUGAUUUUAUCCAAUUCUCACAAAUUAUUAACAUAAUUAAUGAUAUAACAUCAUUUUAUGUUUAUAUAUUACAUAUAUGUAUAAUUAUAUUUAUCCAAUAUAAAAAUAAAUUGAUGUACUUAUUUCCUUAAAUGCGUAUGGUUUAGCCUAAAUUAAAGUUUCAUGUAGAUAAUUACACUAAAUUAAAGUUCAUGUAUCAAAUUAUACAUUUAAUCAAAGUUCAUGUAUAAUUUUAAGAUUUAUCUCUUAUAUUUAUCAUAAAUAUGAUUGUACUUGUCCACAUAAAGUUUCAAAUUGAUCUGAUACCUUUCUCAUAUUGAUAGAUAAUUGUUGGACAUUUUUAAAUUACUCAAAACUCAACGUGCAUGUAUUAUUAAAAAAAACCCAUCAAGAUGCAUGACCUAUGUGAAUAAAAUAUGAAAUAUGAUCGUUGGAUUAUUAAACUGUUAGUUGGACAAAUAUUAUCUAAAUGUGAAAAAUUAUUUGGGUUUUACAUUAGGGUAAUAAAUCACUUGUUGAUACAAGGAGCAAGUUAUGGUGGUUUGUGAUAGUUUUCUCAAUGGGUGAAAAGUCGUAAGAAGGUUGAGGUGAUUAGAAUUUGGAUGCCUGGGGAAAGAUAGAAGAGGAGAGGAGAAAGAGAGUUGAGAGUGUAAGAAGAAAAAAUGCCUCAACCUUAUUCCUGAUUCCAAUAAGCCUUUUAGGGGUUGCUCCGAAUAAUUUCUAAGGUGCCACAUGCCAACCAAAUAUUUGUUUUGAACUUAUUGAAAUUUAGUUAACCUACUACUACAUUGUCAUCCUAGGUAUGACUAUCAUGUCUAGGGAACAAAUAUAUAUGAUAUUUGAGCGGUAGGCAUUCUAUCCAUGUUAGGUGUGUGGUUCCAUUGAUCAGGUCUUGUGAGGUUUUGUGCUCCCAAGAUUUCGGGCUUACUGGUGUCUUAGCUUGCAAAGUGUUCUCUUCAAUCAAAAGUAUUGACUUGCAAGAUUUGCUCACUUGGUGUAAGUAAUAACACUUUUAUAAGGUUAGCAUUUGAUACAUUUCUAGUGAAAUGUUUUAACUUUAUAGCAAGGCUUCAAAUAUUGCCAAAUGUCCUUCUUUAGUACUUUUUUUUUAUUUACUUCUUAUUAUUUAUUAAAUAGAACACCGUAUAUAAUCUUUUAAAACUUGUUUGUGGAGUCUAAAAAUUUUAUUGACUGUGUAUCAAGUUUUUUUUUUUUAUAUAUACAAGAAAAAUCCACUUACAUUAUUGUAAACUCAAAUUGUUUACAUGCUUUCGUGACUUUUUGUAGGAUUAAUAUUUUUAGAAUCCAAUUGUCAUAUUUCUUGUUCUAUUUAUAUAAUUAUCUAUGUCAAGUUUUAAGUAUAUUAAAAAUGUCUAGCUAUUUAUUUUAUGUAAAAAAUUCAAUCAUUAUAGAUAAAGACAAUAUUUUGAAUCAAAUGCUAGAUAUAUUGGAGCUAUCGAAAAUUUACUUGCUUGAAAAACACAAUUAUAUUAAUAAAUUAAACUGUAGAUUAUUAAAAUAUUUAUCAUACAAAAAAGUUAUAGAAGUCUAUAAAACUAUUUGAGUUUUACAUCAUCGUUGGUGAAUCCCUCUCAAUUGUGAAAUAACAAAAAGAAAAAUUUUUCUUUUUUACAAAGUAAACUAUAUUAUUACGAUAGUAUUUUGAUUUUCUUUUUUUUUAUACUCAUAAAUUAAAGUGCUAAAACAUGUUAUUCUCUUAUUUAUGAGUUGGAUAUUUACAUCAAUUCCAGAGACGGGAAAAAGCACACAUUUUUUUUAUCAUAUUAAAUAAAAAGGAAACGAGAGAAAUAAGCCACGUCAUCUAGGUAAUGACAUAAUGCAAGUAUGAUGACACCGUGUUACGUUACCUACAUUUUUCGUUUCUAUUUUCCAUCCACUCAAUAAUAGGUGGCUGCCGUCGCUACACGAGGGAAAAGGGAAGACAAAAGAAAAAACCCUAAUUGGCGGAGAAAGAACGACGGAGAGGAAGAGCCGCGGUGGCAGAAAUUAAAACUAUAUGGCCGCCCCUCUUUCCUCUCAUUUCCGUCCCCUUUGCUUCUCUUCCCAAUCAUGUUCGAUUCCAAAGCCCAAUCUCUUUCCUUCCUCUCUCUCCUUCCCUCCUCUUCGCUCCCUCUCCCCUUCGAACGCUAAAAAAUUCUCCAAAUCCCCUCUCCUCGCUUUCUCUUCCUCUAAUUUCGAUGCCUCUCAUUUCAAUGAUGGCUUCGGUCCCAAUCCUACCCCAUCUAAGGUAAGCUUUUCAGAACCAGUUUCAGUUUGGUUUAAUUAGGCCCUAGUCCCUUUACUCUUCGGACUUUUAAAAUUGAGUUCCUCUCUGUUCUUAUUUUAGGAAUUUAGUCCUCUACUUGGCUGAUUUGAAAAUUAAACUCCAAUUGAUGACAUUGGUAAUGGGUUUUCGUUAAAUUUGAAUAUGUUAUAUUUUAAUAUUCAAAAUUUUGGCUUAAACAAUUAAAGUUGAAUUGAAAAGACAUAGUAACCAAUUGAAUAUUUGGACUGAGUUCGAAUCUUGAAGUCAUCUGGGAAGCUUGAUUAGAUUAGACUUAGAGAAUAAAAUUGAUGAGGACGCGUAUGAUUAUAAAAAAAAAUGAUAGCACAGUCAAAUUUAACAGAAAUCCCUUAAUAGUGUUAUGAGUUGGACUUUAAUUUUUCAAUAAGAGAAGUUGAGGGUUAAAUUCCUGGAAUUAAAUGCAGAGGACUAAAUUUCAAAUAUACUAAGAGUACAGGGACUGGGACAUAAUCAGAUCUUUCAAUUUUGGAAAGUUACCCUUUUUUUUAUAGUUUGCUAAAUUUAGAUUGGGUUUUCUCAUUUCUGGUUUAAAAAUUGACUUUUAGCAAUGUUCUUUCAGAAAUCUGUCCUUACCAAUCUGAUACAGGAGAUUGAACCACUGGAUGUUAGCCUUAUUCAAAAAGAUGUACCCCCCACAACUGUGGAUGCCAUGAAAAGGACUAUCUCGGGAAUGUUGGGUUUACUUCCAUCUGAUAGGUUUCAAGUCUUUAUCGAGGCACUAUGGGAACCUCUCUCCAAAUUGUUGGUUUCUUCUAUGAUGACUGGGUAAUGUUCAUAUGUUCUGCAUAAGGUGCUCCAUGUUACUAGAUGUUGCUAUAGUUCUGUUGGUUGCUAAGAGGACGAAACCUUGGCUAGGGCCUAUAAGUUCCUCUGCCUGUUGUAGUUUCAAUACUUGUUGGCUAUGUUAAUAGUAAUCAGGUGUGUCAAAUAUGGGUAUGUGCUGAAUGCUGGUAUAUUCAUUGUUGAGAAGUUUUUCCAUGUAUUUGGAGGGUCAUUGGUGUCACAUACAAUAUACUUUAAGAAAAGUUAAAACUUGGAGCAGCAUAGGUUGUUAGACAUAACCUUUGGAGCUUUGCAUAUUGACCACAGUAUAUUUUUUAUUCACCCCUCUUUUGGGCAGAAAAUUUUGAUAUCAUAUUAGCAUUUGUUUCGGAGAAGUGCCAAAUCUUAAGCUCAUUUAGAUCAUGCCAAAAUUGGCUCAAUAUAUAUUUGUUUGGCACCACUGGAACUUAAAAGCUGAAUCCUGACGGUGUUUUUAUCUCCUCCGUGCAUACAUUUCUGAUUUACAUCCCAUCUCUUAAUGUGGUACAAUCACUUUAACAUGUGAAUCUUAAGAAUAUUUGUUUUUAAUAUUUAUACUAAGAUCAUAAGUUUAAUUGUUUGAUGUACCAUGAGGCAUGCAGAGUAGCAUUUACCUCCAAUAUAGAUGUCUGUCAGAUAUUGGGAUUAUCAGGAAUAAUAGUUCUUCUUUUGAAUUGCAGUUAUACAUUGAGAAAUGCUGAAUAUAGGCUUUGCCUUGAACGGAACCUUGGUUGUGAAGGAGAUUUGGAAAAUCAAACUUCAGAAAAGGCAAACUUCGAUUUACAAGAGAUGUUAUUGGACAGUACAAAAAUAAAUGAAUUUUCAGAGAAAAAUGAUUUGUCCUCUGAAUCUGAAAAAACCAUUGAAGACCAAUUUGAAGAUAUUGACUUUCAAGGCCUGGGUGAAAUGCCCCUGGAAAAUCGUAAAUACAUUCUUCAUUUGAAGGCUCGACUAACUUCAGUGAAAAAGGUAUGCUACAGCAUAUUGAGGAGCCUCCCAUGGUCUGUUUUUUUCCUGUAAAUUGAACUGUUCAACUUGAUGCAUUGCCUAGAAAGUUACCUUUUAUGUUUUAUGUGUGAGUUUGCUUAAUUAGAGACACAUCAUAGUUUGCUUCAGUUAAAAGUACUCAAAAGAUGCUAGGAAGGCCUAAAAGAUGCCAUUGCCUCUUAUUGGCUGUGCCCUAAACAAAGUGAACCCUGUCUGACCCUUUUUAUAUGGUAUCCGUAUUUCUGAUGCCUAGUAAACAUUCUCCCUUGAAAGCCUAUGUUUUUCAUUUGAGAUAGGAUAUUAGGCUAACUUAUACAGUCCAAAUUGUUUGUAAUAGCACUAUGGAAGAAUUUAGACAUGCCAACCUGAUUAACUGAAUAGAUCACUCAAUGGAAACAUACAAGGGAACAGAAAUUUAAGAUAUUAAAUAUAUCUUUCUUCAUAAUUUUAUCUUUUGAGAGUUAACCCCCUUGGAAGUAUUGGUAGGUGAAUUCUGGCUUACCGAAAUCUACAUUGCAUGAGUGGCAAUUCCCAUGGUUGGUCAGGAUCUGAUAUUAACGGUUGCUUCAUACAUCCAUGCUAUGUUAGAACGUUGAACCUUCUCAGAUUGUUGAAUAUCUCAUUUUCUUUUUCAUCUGUCUUUACAUAUAUAUUUGUUUCGCAGUUUCUUCAUAUCCUUUUCUGCAAAUUGGUGGGGUACAUGCUCAUGUUUCCAUUUUUUGCUCUAUUGAAGGAACUUCAUGAAAUAAAGAGGAAAAAUGCUGCUCUACAAAUGCAACAGUUUGUUGGGGAAGAAAAGAAUGAUUUACUUGACUACUUAAGAUCACUUCAACCAGAAAAGGUUAUCCUUGGUCUCAAAACCCUCUAAAGCAAAUUAAUCUAGUAAUAUCCCAUAAACACGAUGCUACGGGUUUGAUAUCUGAAAGGAAAUACUAUUUGAUUUUUUUGCUUUUUUCUCCAUUCACAUGAAGGCAAGAUUGAACUAAUUAAAAGGAGUUUUUUGCAAUUUCACGAUUUGUGCCCCCCCCCUCUUCUUUCCCCUCAGGUUGUAUAGGAAGGAGGGUUAGCUUUUGGCUUGAAGGGGUACAUCUGCUCAGUGCAAAUUGCUAGAUAUAGCAAUAUAAAUUGAUAUUUCUAUACCAGUAAUGCUUAAUCUGUCACAUUAAACUGUUUCUUUAGCAGUGAAUUUCAGUAAAAAUUUAUAUUGCUGUGGCUAAUAAGGUUGUAACAUAAUUUCAGGUAGCUGAACUUUCUGAACCAACAUCUCCUGAACUGAAGGAAACAAUCCAUUCAGUAGUCCAUGGUCUCCUUGCCACUCUUUCUCCGAGGAUGCAUUCCAAGGUUCCUCCUUUGUCAGAGAACACCACAACUGGAACUGUAAACAUUGGGAGUGAAGACUGUGCAGAACUUGUUGAGAAUACUUCUCUUCAAUUCCAGCCCUUCAUUUCAUUAACGCGGGACUAUCUUGCUCGUCUUCUUUUCUGGUUAGUCCACCUCCCCCCCGCCUUUUCAAUCACACACUCUUCUCAUUUCUUUUAGAUCACUUUGACCCAAGAAGCUUAUGUAUAAUUAAAAAAAUAUAAAAUAAAAUGAAAUCUGGUUUUUCAGAAGUUUAACUGGAUAUCUGCAUUUCUAUGUACUUAUUUGCUCACCAUAUGGUACAAUCCUGUUUAAAUUUGAACGUAUUAUUUGUGUUUGACCACUACACUUUGUAAGAAAGAUGACCGAAUGGAGAUCUGAGAGAUUUUCUUGUGUUUAAACUUCGAAUGAGCUUCAGUCACUCCGUCUAAGAUUCAAAGAAUUUGUCUGAACCCCAUCACCAUAUUAUAAUAUAGCUGAGUUCUAAUAUUCUCAUAUCUGUCCUGAAGGUGCAUGCUGCUGGGGCACUACCUUAGAGGCCUCGAGUAUCGGUUGGAGCUAAUGGAGCUUCUGUCAUUGACAAGCAGUCCCGGCAAUAAUAGUUAUGGUGAUGAGCAGGUUGUUUAGAGUUGCUAUCUGAUUCCAGUGCUACCAUCUGUAUAUAUGUGUGUAAAUCGGCAUAUCGACUAACUUCUUUUACAGGAAGAGGUAAGAAUCGGACAAGAUUAGGCCCUUCACUCUCUUGCAGAUGGCGAAUUGUUUUUAUGUAUAAAAACGAUACAUUGUUUUUUGUCAAUGUCGAGUUUAGCGUUGGUAUGUUAAUGUUUUUUACCCAGAAAUGGAGAAACCUUGUUGAUAAUGCUCAUUAUUAGUUGCAUUAAGGUUUGCUUUGAGCCAUCUUGAAUGUCAUUGUUGCAAGCCUAAACUAAUAAAAAGGCAGUUUAACUGUCGCUUUAUAUUAGCCCUUAAUUAUUUCUUCAGUGUCAACUUUCAAAUUUUAGUGAAAAUCUUCUUCUUUGGAAAAAAAAUUUGACCGAACUGUUAAAAUUUUAAUGGUACUACGUCUUUAAAAAUUUUAACGUUUUGAAAAUUUUUAUUAAUUUUAUCAUGUGUGGACCGCCAAUUACUUUCCCGAAGAAAAAUAAUUUAAUUAAAAUUUGAAUUUUGAUGGUGAAAAUGAUAAAAAUGAAAGAAUAAGUGUUAAAUUUGUGAUUAUGCUAUGAAGAAGCCCUCAUAUAUUUUGUGCACUUUUUUCUUUUAAUUUGUAUUCUAAAUAAAAAUAUUUACGAUUUCCAUGAUUGGAUUGAGAUUUCUAAAUAAAAAAAAUAGGACUUAAUUUUUAAUUUUUUAAGUGUAUGACUCAAAUCUCAAAUUUUGUCAAAGUACAAGUACUAACAAUAUAUUUUAACCUAAUUUAAAAUAAUCUAAUGAUAACAAUUAAUUAGAAAGUACCUUUAAUUCUUUGUAUUUUGAUAGACGAGUUAACUAUAAUAAAUUAAUUAACAUAAUAUUAAAAACAAAUAAGACUUUUGUUUUAUAAAAGUAUAAACUUAUUUUAUAUAUUUUUAAUUUCAAUAUUUCUUUCAUUAAAUAAAAAUUUGAAGUUAAUAUAUAAAUUUGAAAAGAUUAACUUACUUUUAACUAUUAAAAUAAAAUAUUUGAAAGGAUAUUUUUCUUGUUAAAAUUUAUUCUGAAAUUAUCAAAAUUAACACUAGAGGUCAAAUUUUAAUUAGAAGAAUAAAAAUAAUAAUAAAUUUAAAUAAAAUUUAAAGUUUAGUUGCAAAAUUUAAUAACAUAAAAAUUGAUUGGCAAAAUGAUUUAUAUUCCUAAAGUAUGAUAGCAAACAUCAAUUAAAAUAAAGUAUAGUGACAAGUUUCAAUAUUAAUUAAUAAUGUGGUAACAAUUUUACACUUUAAAUUAACUUUUAAAACUUUUAUUAAAUAGAGCGGAUUUGAACUAUGUUAUCUCAUCUCAAUUCUUAAUAUUAUAUAAAAAAUUUAUAAUUAAAUAAGCUUGACUUUUGAAUAUUUACUUAAAUAAACCCUUAAGAUAAAUCAAUCUUCCAAAGUAAGGGCUUACCAAGAGGAUUAGGGUUUAUUUAGGAGUAAAAAUAGAAUAGAGCUUAUUCAAUAAAACAUUAUAUAUCAGUUUUUUUCUUUAUCUAAACCAAAGAUUAGUCUAAUUUAUCUAAUAUUGGAAAGGGUUUGGAAAAAAAAUAGAGAAAUUAAGACCCAUUUUAAAGUGGGUUGGAUUUUGAUUUCAAGCCAUGAAAGAUUCAAAAUUGUUAUAUAUAUUUUGAGUAUUUUUCAGAUUUUUUUACUGUUUAAGUUCGGGAUUCGUGAAUGUUUCUCCUAAUAAUGUCAUCUUUAAAGUUAAAAUUUGUGUUCUCCUUUUGAAAAUACAAUGCGCCUUACUAUUACACCAAACCACUUGUUGGUAGUUAUAUCUAUUCUUUAAUCACGUAAAUUAUGGUUUUAUAUAAUAUAAAGAUUAAAUAUAUAAUAUCAAAGCGUAAAUGUUAAAAAAAUAUGAUGAUUUGCUUAUGUUUAGAUCCAUUUAUGGGUUGGGUCGAUGCAAAAUAUUAGGCUCAAAUUAUUGAUUCGGGUUCAGCUCAACGAGAAAAAUGGGCCUAAAAUUCUGCCCAAGCUUGACCCUGAUUAAAAAUGCUAAAUUGAGCUCGACCCGGUCCACUUGUAUUAAUUUUUUUAGAUUAAUAUUUUUAUAUAAAAAUAAAUUUAAAAAUAUAAUACAUCGUAUACUAAAUAUAUUAAAAUAAAUGUUUUCCGACAAAUUAAAAAUACAUUAAAAAAUAUUUAUACUUAAAUAGCGUUAAAAUAGUUGCAGCAAGCAAAUGCCUCUUAAAUUGAAGCAAAAUUAACAAUAAAGCAAAAUUAACAAUAAAAUAAGAGUUAUACAAUAUCCAAACAAUAACAAUAAAAUCGUAGCAAUAUAAUAGCGAAAUUGUAGCAAAUAAGCAACGAAAUGACAACAAAAAAGAAAGUUUAGGCUAAUUCGGGUUGAGCUGAGUCGGGCCCAGGUAAAAAAUCUUACCCAAGGCCUAGCCCUUUUAGAAAACGAACCUUAUUUUUUUUAUCUAAGCCUAUUUUUUCGGGCCUAUAUUUUUACUCAAACCCUCCCACUUUUGGGAUAGGCAUUUAAGCCUGGACGGGUGACCCAACUCAUGAUUAGGUCUACUAAUUAAUUGAAGACUUCUUUAUAAAAAAAUUAAAAAUAAUAUAUAUUUUAUAAAGAUGUUGAUAUAGUGACAAAUAACUUGUUGGCAUGAACAACGAUUCGAACGUUAGACCUGAGGUCAAUUGUAAACUUAAUACAAAUCUUUUACCACUACACUAAUGACUUAAUUGAUGCACUUGAGAAUAAAUAUUAAAUUUAUAUUUAGAAUUGAAUUGUAAUUCUUACCUAAUUGGGCUUGAUUAGUGACCAUGGGCCUUUUCUUCACCAAUGUUAAUCUAAGACUACAAAAACCAUAGUAACGGAGAUAAUUAUUUGUGGGUUGAGGUGCUUUUAGAAAAUGAAGUAUUGACAAAUAAAAAACAAGCAGGUUUAGAUUAUUUAUCUGUAAAUAUAAAUAAUAUUUGGUAACAUUAAAAUUCAUAUUUUAAUUCAAUGGAGUUUACAUAAAUACACGUAAUAUCAUAAAUAAAUUCUAUGAUUCAUGUUAAUAAUAUUUAAGUAUGGGAUGACAAAAUUUAUGUUAUUUGAUGGAUUUUUAUCUGAAUAUAGAAAUAUUUAUAUAUUUUUUAUCUUGAGCAGCAAAGACAAGAUGUAAUAUGUAAUUAUAUAUUAUACAAUAAAUUUAAAAAAUAUUUAAGUUAGAUAUUCAUAGAUUAUCUUUUUACGUUUAUAUGUUAACUACACAUUGACCUUAUUAGAAAUUAGAAACUUCAUCGCACAUGUAUGUGUCACGUGAUUAGAAUUAGGGAAGGAUUUUACUCCAAGGGGGAUAAAACUUCUAAAUCCGAACAACUUUUUUUUAAUGUAAAAAAGUAAAUUCUUCUCGGAUCCACAUUAAGGCAAUAACGUAAAAGAACUUUACAAAUUGCCUUCGCCAAAGCUAACGACGCGGUGUCCUUCACAUGAACCAAAUCAAAGAAUCGUUCACGUAUAAACCCUUCUUUAUCAACAAACCGUAAUAAAAUUGCCAUUUUUUUUCUUUGACUCAUCAUGAGUUUCAUCCACUAUAAUGCAGAACUUUGAAUCUCCAAUCUCUUCCCGAAUGAAUCCCUGGAUUUUACUCGCCAAAAUAGAAAGAAUGUCUUUUUGAACAUUCGGACUCACAUACUAUGCAUUUUGAGGGGCAUUUUCAAAGACAAUUGCUCCCACAUCUUCAUUAUAAGAAGCCAAAAGUUUUAUUAGUUCAAGAAAGUUACCUCGAUUUCUUGAAUCUUGUGUUUCAUUGCGUCCCUUAAAGGCAUAACCUUGAAAUAUAAGCCACUUGAUAGCAUCUAUUGAUACCUUGAGCUGUAGCCGAUUUCUUGCAAUUUGUUCAGAAUUUUGUUUCUCAAUAAUCCUUCCAAUAAUUUGCAAGGAAUUUUGAAGAUCAAGAUAAAAUUUCAUUGCAUUCUUAUUUAAAUAAUUUUUUGCAUCCUUACCCACAUGAGUAAUAAAAGGACAUUUAGAUCUUUCAUUGACCUUCUUCCACGAUCAAAAUCCUCGGCUUGUAAAAGUAUUUCCAUGACGCCCAAAUAACUUGUUGAAGAGAAACAAGGAAGGCAAUAUGCGGCAUUCUCGAGCCAAUUUGGGAAAACUUGUACCAAGAUGGAAGAAAUUGACGUCCGUUCUUGUUAAUAUACUGAGGAGAUGUUGGAGCCUCACUUGGAGGAAUCAGUUGAUAUGACACAAACGUAAUGUAAGCUUGACGAACUUCAUCCUGUUGAUUUGGAAGGUAAUCCCAAAUAGAUUUUCAUAGUCCCAGAUUAUGCUCUAAAGAAAAAACAUCAAACUUCUUUGUUUCUACUCUUGGCACCUUACAAGGACGUUUAAGAACUUGAGAAGACCCGAUAUCUUGUUCAGGAGCUUGGGAAGACUCAAUAUGCCGUUCAAGAUCUUGGGAUUAAGAAGACUUGAUAUCUCGUUCAGGAGCUUAGGAAGACUCAAUAUUGCGUUUAGGAGCUUAGGAUUAAGAAGGCCUGAUAUCUCAUUCAAAAGUUUGGAAAGAUCUGAUAUUUGAUUUUUCUCCACUAAUAACAGAAGGUUGAGGAACUGAAUGAUCAUUAUUGCUUUCUGACAUUUUUUCCUUGAAAAAAGAUUCUAUCUUUUAGUUGACCAUAAUUUAAUAGAAAAACCUAAAGAUUGUAAUAAUAUAUUAAACAAAAACAUAUUAUGAAAAAGAAAAAAAUAAUUCAAAUAAAUAAAAAACAUAAUUUAUGAAAAAAUAUUUACCUAAAGGUCUUUUGUGCAAUGAGCCAAAAGGAAGAUAAUUUGUAUUUUUUUACUCUGUACUCUCAGUCUCGGCAUCAAACUCGUUUCUUUUUCUCUCGGUAAUGUCAGUACCUUACCAAAGGAAGAUAAUUCCUUAGCAAGACAUACAAAUCAAAAUACAAGAAAGUCACUAACAUAAUAUGUACGGGUAUGGGCCAAAUCAAUUAAUUAUGGAAUUUAGCUUUAAAGUCCAUAUUGGGCCUUUAAGUUUAAUGUUUCAAGGCCCAUCAUACAUUAAUAUUUGAUUAUUAUUAAAGUUAUAUAAUUAAAAACUGAAAAAUACUUUGUUAAUAUAAAUAAUAACCUUAUGGCUUAAGGGGGCUAAUUAUAUAAAAUACAAUUUAGCUAAGAGGGCGAAUGUUAUACAAUGUGGACACAAAAUCUAAAAUACAUUAUAAUUUAUAUAUAAAAUUCAAAAAUUUAAAAAUUCCAAAGGGACAACUGCGCCUCCUGGAUCCAUCAUUGGUUAGAACUUUAAUCUAGAAAACUAUGUGACCUUAGGCAAUUUUUUGGGUUCAAAUCUUGCCUAAGUUAACCUACUCUCGGAAAAUGAGAAUUCUUAUAGAAAUUCUCUAAGGCACCGAAGCAAAUUGGAAGCAAACUCGAAAGAUAAAAAAAAGCUACAAACGAACAAAAAGUCAUAGAAAAAUACCAUACACCAAGUGUUUGAGUAAAUACUCUCAAAAGAAAUCUAUUACUUUGAAGGUUUAUAACUGAAUGAUUACAAAUGAGGAGGAAUACAUUUAUUUAUAGUUAAGCUCCCCCCAAAUCCAACAGUACAGAUUAAGUUACAUCUGCAAUCGAUAUUAGAGCCUAUCUACAAUAUGAGAGUCUUAAGGAAUUUAAACUCUAUACAUCUUUAUCCUUUAGGAUUUACAUUAGUUACCUUGGUAACUCCAGUUUUACUGGAGUGUUUCGUAGGGCCACCAAGGCUUCAAGUAAAUGGUUUUGUCCAUGGGUUCCACAAAUUGGGGCAGUUCAAGUGGGUCAAAUGAGCCCCAUAUAAUAAGUUGACCUCUAUGAGAAGUUCUAUGCACGGUGGUCAUAGGCUUCGAUUCGCAGCCUGUGACAUUUUGCCCCACAUAUUCUCGCGAUGGCCUCAUCAAGUCCUCGGAAUGACACUGCUUUGACUAAUCUCAGAACGGUUUUGAUGCCUAAGCUAAUUCCCAACUACUGUUUUUGUUAGGUAGUUUCACCUCUUGGAACAUUUGACUUAGCUUAUGCCUCCAUCGUUGUCUAACCGACACUAUAUUUAUCUCUUGUACAUCUCAUUCAUAAGAGGCCACCGCUCGUACUUGUACCCAUUGUGACUUGUUUUGAUCGAGAUUCUCUUGAUUCAUACAAAUAGGCUUAAGCAUGCCUACUGAUCUGUCGUAAUUUGAUAUAUCAAAUUAGGCUCUCCAAUACACUUGAAGAGCUUAUUAUUAAGCAAUUUAAGUGCCUUUUAUAUGUUUUUGUCAAUUUUUAGCUUUAAGCAUUAAUAAACAUUUUUACUUAGUUUUAUACCUUUUUUGAGACCCAAAUUGGCCAAAUGUUGCCAAGGGGAAACUAAGGAUGUGAUUGAGUUGGUGUAAGGAGACGAUAAAGUCUCAAACUCAAGAAUAACAUCAUUCAGAGUGGGUAUCGCGGCACUGAUGCUAUGGAAGUCAUGAUAUCCCUGAAGGUGCUGAAAUAAAGAAAAUUGAGUCCAAUUUUAGUGGUAUCAUGACACUGAGACCUUUAAGACCUCAAUUUAGCCACUAUGUUGGGAUCGCGACAUUAAGGAAUAGGUAUCGUGACACCGAGUCCCCUAAGACCUCAAUUUAGCCACUAUUUUGAGUUUUGCAACACUGAAGCUUAUGUGUCACCAUACCACUACUUGAAGGGGAAAUUUUAUUGUAGGGGUCGUUUUUGUCCAACACCAACCCAAUCAAAAUAUAGCAUCUAGAGGUAUUUUGGUCCAAAAUUUUGGAUUGUAAUAAAAUGUUAAAAGCCACUUGUGGCUGAGAACAAAAAGGGGUUGCUGUCUUUACCUUUUCUUUCAUUAUUUUAGAUUUCUAGUUAGCUUCUUCUUUAUUUUCUUAUGGUUUAGUUAAAGCUUUCUGGUUUUAGUUGUUUUAGUUGUUAAGUUAGUUAGUAUUUACUGUACCUUGGUCUUAAUUGUACUUUGGUGCUCAAUUUUUUUUUGUAUUUUCAUUUUAAUCCAUAACAUUUAAUAUAGCUCAACUCCAAUUUUCUUUCUUAGAUAAAAAUCUGAACUUUAGUGUUAAUUUUCAUCACCACUGUUGCCAUCUUUAUCUUCUUCAAACAACUAUAAAAAAAAACUCUAAGCUUUCUUUAACCCUCUUUUUGUACUUAUUUAAAUGUAUGCUUUUAAUUUAUGUUAGGUUGUUGCUUGUAUGGAAAAGAUGUUGAGUAACUAAAUCUAUGGUGGUUGGUUGAUUGAAAUGUUGCUUGAUUAGUUUUUGCUAUAGGGACUAAAUCGUAAAAACUAGACUAAAUCGAAUAAACUUCAAAACUUAAAAUUGACGCCUCUUUGGUAAAACAUAGAUAGGUGAGUCCGAGAGAUCUUAUUGAGCACCAAUUUGGUUGUCUCGAGUUAGUUUGGUGAGGUUGAGAGAUAAACCAAACUCAACCAUCUAAUUUGGUAAAAUGGUGACGAAGAGGUAAAAUUGAGUCAAUAGAAUUUUAGGCAUUUUAGAUCCAUAAUCCAAAGACUAGUUAGCAACAUAAAAGUCAUCCAAUCAUUAUUUUUUAUUGAAUUGUUAUUUACUUAGUUUUGUCUAUUUUACAAUUUGGUCAUUUUUAGUGUUAGGUAAUUAAUUAUCAUAAUUAAAUUCAAUUAUGAAUUGUUGUAAUAUAAGACUUAGAGAGUAGUUAGUUAGACUUCUUGAUUCCAUGUUGGUUGAGUAGGAAUCACUUAAUCCCUAAAUUCCCUUGGGUUCAAUCCUUAGAAUACUUGAGUGCUCCAUUGUAACACUACAAAUAUUACAACUCAACCUGUUACACUUGCAGUAUACCACCAUAUUAUAAUUGUUUUUGUGUUGAUUCAUAGCCUUGGUGCACGUACACCGAGGUGUGAUCACCUACAUUGAACAUCGAGUUCACCUUGAGUCUUGCCGCUAACUCUGAUUUGUAAGUUCCUCAGCUUACCCCCUUCAAAACUCUGAAAGAGCCCCAGUGUCUUUGCCAAGCCAAUAAUAAGUCAUAAUGUAAAACACUAGAUAUGUGUUUGAGAUAUUCAUCGCUCAUAGCAUUUACUCUUUCUAACUGCCUAGUCUGUAUCACUACUUUUCCUACAAAAUCUGAUGUACAACCCACCUCUCUCAUAGGUGGUAGCCCCACUAAUAUCUCAACAGGCUUUAUAUUGGUAUUUUGCCCCUUUAACAUUUCUAAGGGGGUCUUUGUAAUACUAUGAUCUACCAAGUCAAUAUCCCCACCACAUGGAGCAUCCUUGGCUAGCUGAAUUGUCAACAAUACAUUGGUUCCACCCCUCAUGUCUCGACUCGUCGACAUAACACAUUGCUUUUGUUGAGUAUCCAAGAUGCAAAUGCAUUUGAAAAAAGAAAUAAAAAAAGCAUCAAUCUUGUCAAGAAAAUUCAAGCCAAGCACGAAGUUGUAAUAAUCUAAGUAAAUUACCUCAGAUUCUUUUUUGUCUUUCCAUUGACCGAUCUAUAAAUCAACUUCUUGUGCUACCUCCACAGUUGGGACAUCUUUGGAAUUAACAAUCUUGAUCUUCUUGGUCAAUUUGCUAACUGAGAGACCAAGUUUACCCACGAUUUUCUCUGAAAUGAACAGAUCAGAUGCCCCUGUAUCGAUAAGAGCACUCCUCCUUUGAGCUGCGAUGUUGAUGUCUACAAACAUCAACCUUUUUUUCUUGCGAUUCUUCAUUGCAUUAGCAAAAUUGAGUAUAAUUUAUCCAAGCUUCAAUAACCUUUCCUCCUCAGGCUCCUCUUCAACUUUUUUACUGAUCGUGGACAGUUUGGAUCGCUCUAGACAAUCCUGCCUCCUAUGCUGACUACUACAUAAGAAGCAUUUCGCUAGUUUCUUUUCACUCUCUUUGUACCUCUUGGCUUCGACACUAUGCAUGAUCGAACCAAACCUCAUGGGUGUUUUUUUUGGCUCAUAAUCCUUUUUUAUGGUAGAAAACACUAAUCAUUUUUUAUAGUCCCUUACCAUAUGCGUACUGCCACAUAAGAAGCAUUUUAUCUCACUCUUCUUUUUGUUUGUGUUGUUGGGUUUUUGUUUCCCAUUUCAUGAUUUCCUAUUUCCACCAUUACCGUUGCUAUAUUCAACUUGUCUUUUUUUUAUAUCCCGUACCAUUGACUUUUUCAUUGGGCUUGAAAAAAUCGAACUUGUCUUUCUUCGAAACAAACUCAAUUAAGGACGCUGCCACAAUCAUGGCUUUGAACAGUUCUUGGACCCCUUGACAUUCCGAUUCUUGUUUCACCCAUGGCUUCAACCCACCAUAAAAUAGAAGAAUGCUUCUUUUUCAUUUAGGUCGGAGAUUUGAAGCAUCAAUUCAUUAAAGUCUCUGACAUACUACCGAAUAGCACCUUGUUGUGUAAGCCGGCGCAACUUAACUCGAGCCUUCCCCCGACAUACUAUGAGUAAAAUUGCUUCUUCAAUUUUUUUAACUCCUCUCAUGUCCUAAUUACGAUACCACCUCGUCCCUCAUCUGUGGACCUACGAUGCCACCAUAAAAGAGCGAUAUCAACAAAAAAAACUGCAGUAGUGUUUACCUUAGUGGUAUCAUCAUUGAUGCCUAUUGCAUAAGAGUAUUGUUCUAUCCCCCAAAGAAUAUUGUCCAUAUUCCUUACGGUCCUCGUUCCUUUGAACUAUUUCGGCUCAGGAACAUCUAUUUUGCAUUGCUUAGGAACUAAAACCAAUAUCCUUUUUCCCAUAGUAGCUCUGCACAUAAUAAACAUUCCUUCGAACUCCUCAAUUUUUGCCAUCAUGGUUUCAAUUUCCUCAUUCAAAGCCAUAAUCGAAGCUUCGAGAACACCAUUACUCUUAGUUUGCUUCUCAGUCUGAUGACCCAUGGUGGCAUUGAGGGCUUCUUUCAACACAUCCUGAUUGGCACCAAGAGCUUCUACCACAUAGUCCCUAAGUUACACUCUCAUCAAGUCUAACUUAUCAGUACGUUCUUCAACUAUCUCGAGUGUUUUCUUCACACCACCCAUGGAUUCCUCGAGAUUGAUCACCUGACCUUCCAAAGCUGGCAUCAUAUCCGUUGAUCUGUUAUUUUCUUGGACCUCCUACAGGUCUCCAUCAGGAUAUUCUACUCAAAUACCAACUGUCACAGAGCUAGAAAUUUAAUCUAGCAAAUCGCGUAACUUUAGGCGAUUUCUUAUGUAACACCCCUAACCUAUAUCCGUCGCUAGAAUAGGAUCUCGAAGUAUUACCGAAGUUUAUCGAUCAAAUAAGCAGAAUUAUCAAACAUUUCAUAUCAUCAAAACAAGUCAUCAAAUUAAAAUUAUAAACAUGCCAAAAUCUAUCAAUUUGGCCUAGUUUAUAUCUACCUAAAACAUUAACUUAAAUUCAUAUACACAUACCAAGCUUUGGUUCAAUUUACCAUACCAUACUAUGGUUUCAAAUACAAAGACAUGUUUAUAUGUAUAAAACCAACCAAUAUUAAACUUAUAAUCUCAUUUACAAUCAAUUCACAAAACAACUAUUGUUUAGACAUCCUAGGUACAUGCUGACACAAAAGAUAGACAUCACCACAUUUGAGUUUGGGAGCAUUGUUUGAUGCUGAAUCAACAAUCAAAAUUGAAGUACCUAAUCUGCGCACAGAAAACAAAACCGUACGCUGAGUAAAACUCAGUGGUAUUUCUAUAAUCUGAAUAUUUAAAGACAAGAUAAAAUAAUAUGCAUUUUUAAUUAUAAGCACAUUUGAAUAUUUAUGACCACAUUUAUUCAUACAAUGGCAUUAGCCAUUCAAUAUUUAAUUCAUAAAUACAUCAUUUCAUACCAUUCUCGAAUCUCAUCACUUGUUAUAUAAUAGCUUUUCACAAUUUAAUAUAUAUAUCAUUUAAACAAUAAUAUUAUUCAAUCCAUAUCCAAUUCAUGAAUACGUAAUUCAUGUGUCUCAUUUUCAUGUUUUAAUUCACUAUCCCAUUUUCAUUCACAUACAAUAUCAUCCAAUAUCAAUCAUAGUAUUAUUUUAUUUAAUUACCCCUAUUAACACGACUCAGACUCGGACGGAUACAUGGAUCCAACCAACACACCAGUUUGGCACCCAGUGCCUCAUCAGAUAAAUCCAAAGUAAUAACUGCGCCUAGCGCUAUAUAAAUUUGACACCCAGUGUCUCAUUGGUUAAACCGAAGUAAAUUGGCACCCAGUGCCUCAUCGACUCGAAGUCGAAGAAAUCCCUGAACUCUUCCAAUUCUAUGGCAUGCCAUCUAUAUCCGACUCAGUCCGAUACAGUUAAUAGGAUUUAAUUUCACUUUCCGAAUACAUCCAAUAUUUAAUAUCCAAAUUUCACAUUAACACAUAUAUUCAUUUCAAUUCAAUUCAAUUCAAUCAACUUUAAAUCAAUUCAAUAAUCAAAGUGCCAUAUACUCACCUUAACCACUUACCAUAUACAUUAAUUUAAAAUACAACAAUUAACAAAUGGGUUCGGAUUAUAGAAAUACAAACUAGAAAUUUCGAGCCAUUCGAUGUUGACUUUAUCUUUGCUCUUUUUAAUCGAAGAUUCCAGUACGACGUUAGCUAUGGAAUUAAAACAAUUAAAAUUCAUUAAUACAACACAAUUCAAUUUCAUAUUGAAUAUUUAAAUUUUGACUCAAUAUUUUCAUACAAUUUUCACUUUAAACUAAGUUUAACUCCUUAUUUUCACUUAAAUCCCUAAAUUUCAAGUUUUUUACAAUUUAGUUCCUAUUAUUCAAAAUUUACAAUUUAUUCUACAAUUUAAUCCUUUUUCAUUUCUAACUUAAAAAUCUAUCAAUUUAAUCCUUAAUACUAAAAUUAUUCAACAUUAAAAACACUUAAAAACUCAAUAAUUGCUAAAAUUUCGACAUGGGUUGAGUAGUACUUAACAUCGAGAUUUCAAAAACAUAAAAAUUAUAAGAAAAAGAACUAAAUUGACUAACCAAUUGAGCUUUGAAACCUAGAAAUCCCUAAGCCUUGCAUCUUUCUUUCUCUUUUUCUUUUUCUUUCUUUCCUUUCUAUUUUCGUUUGGCUUUGGCUUUCUAUUUUUAUUUUUAUUAUAAUAUAUAUAUACUUAACUAUUAAGUAAACUUAUUUUAAUAUAAUAUGUAUUAAAUUUAUAAAUAUCUUACCUUAAUGCCGCCUUAUUAAAGAACAAUGGCAUAAUUACUUCUUUAGUCUCUUUAAUUUUUCUUUAAUCUAUAAUUCAAUUUUCACCAUAUAUGCAAUUUAGUUCUUAUACCUAAUUACUCUUAAUUCAUACAGUUUCACUUAACCAAAACCUAAUUAACUGUACAACUAGCUUCAUAAAUAUUUUUAAUAAAUAUUUACGAGUCCGAUUUAUGGUAACGAAGUCUCGGGAAUGCACUUUCUGACACCCCUUACUAUCGAGUAAUUACAUCUUCAGUUCAAAUCCUGCCCAAGUCAACCUACUCCCAAAAAAUGAGAAUUCUUCUAGAAAUUCUCUAAGGCACCGAAGCAAAGCGAAAACGAACUUGAAAGACAAAAAAAAGCUAUGAAUGAACAAAAUGCCACAGAAAAAUACUGCACACCAACUGUUUGAGUAAAUACUCUGAAAAGUAAUUUAUUACUUUGAAGGUUUACAAUUGAGUGAUUACAAUUGAGUGCUUACAAAUGAGGGGGAAGGCCUCAAUUUAUAGUUGAGCUCCUCUAACGGUACAAAUUGAGUUACAUCUAUAGUCGAGAUUAGAACCUAUCUACAAGAUGAGAAUCAUAAGGGAUUUAAACUCUAUACAUCUUUAUCCCUUAGGAUUUACAUUAAUUAUCUUGGUAACUCUAGUUUUACUAGAGUGUUUCAUAGGGCUACCAAGACUUCAGGUAGAUGAGUUUCUCCAUGGGUUCCACGAAUUGGGCUAGUUCAAGUGGGUCAAAUAAGCCUCAUUUAAUAAGUUGACCUCUAUGGGAAUGUUUUGUGCACAAUGGUCAUGAACUUUGAUCCGUGGCCUGUGACAUAUGCAUGUGGAAAUAAUGAAUUUAGAAUAUAGAUUUGUAUUUCAAAAUAACAUGCAAUAAAUAAUGAAAUUUAUGAUAAUAUAAUUUAUUUGUGUGAAAACUCUAUCUCGCCAUAUGCAUAUUUUUAUUGUUUUUUAAAUUAAAAAUAUUAAAUUACCCUUGAAUAAUAUAAUUUAUUUUAAAUACUUAAAUUUUUAUAAUUUUCCUAACUAGGUUGGUGCUUGGUUGACUCGUAACACCAACUCAAUCAAGAAUUUUAUUAAUAGUAAGUAUAGAUAUACAAUUGAUUGAGGCAAUAAAGUGUGCAUACUAAACUUGAAAUGUAUAAAUAAAUCAAAAUAAAUUUUUAGUUGAGUGGUAAAUUUAAAAUAUUUUCAACAAAAUUGGCAUGAGUUCAAAUCCCACCAUAUGCAUAUUUUAUUAUUUUUUAAAAUUAAAAGACUAAAAUACCCUCAAAUAAUAUAACUUAAUCAUUUUGUAAUUUCCCUAAUCGAGUUGAUGCUUGAUUGACUUGUAACACCAACUCAAUCAGUGAUUUUAUUAAUAGUAUAGAUAAUUAAGAAGUAUCAAAUAAAGUAGGGCCAGGGGUGAAUCCAGAAGUAUUUUUUCGAGAGGACGAGAUUGAAUUAUAAAUUUUUGAGAGAUCAAAAUAUAAAUUUAUCACGUAUUGUAAUUUCAUUAUUUUACAAAGAACUAAACAUUUUCUUUUUCAUUUUUGGAGAGCUAAAAGUACAAUUUUACCAUACAUUUACUUAUAAUUUUAUCAUUUAUGGAGGGAUUAAAUUAUAAUUUUUUUUUUCAUUUUUAGGAAUUAAGAUUCUUGCCUACCUUCCCUUGGAUUCGCCUCUCGUAGGGAGGGCCAAAGACAAUUAUAGACACAUUUAAUAUUCGUAGAGGUGAUUGUGAUUUUUAAAAUUUGACAUCUAUGACGAAACUAGACAAAAAUAGGACGAAAUGAAACUAUGAUGAAUUUAACAAUAUGUAAAAUUAUAACAUGAAUAUUGACAGAGUGUUGUUGAAUAAUAAAUUAAUAAAAGUACUUUUAAAGCAUGAUAUUGAUAUUUAUGGGGUUACUUGACCCUCUUUUAAUCGAUGCUUAUGAAUUAAGGAAUAUACUCUGUCUGUGAAAAAAGCAAAAAGAGAGGUUUUAGGAUCUAUGCGCACCGUUUUGUACCACAUAUUUUAUUUUACAGUGUGGUCCUUCAUAAUUCAUUGAUUCAUAAUAUGAAAAAACAAUCAUUAAACUAACCACUUAAGCCUAUCAACAACCUCGAUUGACUUUAAUAAUUAUAACUAAAAUAAAAUUUUAACUAGGUUAAAUAUGUUCUAAUUCCCUUACUCGUUCUAUAUUUGUAAUUGAGUCCCUCUAUUUAAAAAUACAAUUUUAAUUGUUAAUACCAUUAAAAUUCUUCUACUAAAUUCAAGUCUAUUACAUGUCAUUCUUUUUAUCACAUGGGUACGAAAUAAUUUACGAUUAUUUGUGAACUGCCCUUUAAUGCAAACUAACAAAAGCUUCACUUCAAUUAAAUAUAGAGUCGCAUCGGAUCAGAUCUUUAAUAAAGAGUAAAAAUAAUUUAUUAUUGUUUUAUCCAUCCACAAGACUUAAAUUCAAAAUUUUAAACAUUAAGGUCUUUACAGUUUAGCUCCAAUUAGAUUAUAGAUAUGGGUGUUGGACAUAAAAGAAUAAAAAUCGAAGGGGGUAAAGGAAAAGGAUUAUAAAGUUAUAUAUUUUCAGAUCCAAUGUUGAAUGCCUUUGAAACUUUGCUCCUUCUUGGAUUUUUAUUUUUAAUAUUUUUUAAUAUCAAAGAUAAUGAUUUGUGACCCAUCUUUCUAUUUUUCUUUUUUAAUAUCAAACCUUAUAAUAUUCAAUAUUUAUAUUCGAUCCCAAAUAAAUUUGAAAUUAAAUCGAGUCGGGAUUCUAAAUAGGAAGUAGAGUUUUCCAAAUUUUUUAUUAAUAAAACUCAAAUUCAAUUUAUUAUUAUUAUUUGAUUCAAUAAUCAGUAUGGUGCAUCUAUUUAUUUCUUUAUUAAAAUAACCGAAAAUUUUAACUAAAAAAAGAGAGAGUAUAGAAUAAGAAGUGCACGUGAUUUGAGGGCGUAAAGAAGAAGGCUGUUGAGUGAUCAGUCAAAAGCAAUUAGCAUGAAAUGGAAGAGAAUAUAUAACAUCCAACACUUGCAGCACCUUACUUUUCCCCCAGUUAUAAUACUAAACAAAUAACAGAAAAAUUACAAAAUUGCAUUAAAGGACCAAAAAUAAAUUAUAAUUUUUUAGAAUGAUCAAAAUAUAAAUUUACCGUUAUAUUAAUUUAUAAUUUACAAAUUCUGAAAGGACUCGUAAGAGCAAAUUAUUACCCAUGCACGUUUCUACAAAUCAAAUUUAGAUAAUCUUUGAAAAAAAUGAACACCCGACCAAUUAACCAUAACUUAAUUCAAAUAUUAAGUAAAUGUUUAUAAUAAAAUUGAUAAUAAAUACUAUAUGGUAACUUCUGUUAAAUAAAAUGUUAAAAUAGCAUAAUUAAUUACUUGAGUAUAUAAUUAUUUUAUUUUUAUUAUAUCUCCUCAGUAUCACAUCACAUGCAGUAAAGUUGCUGAGCAAGUUCAUUUUUUGACUGACCAGCAAAUUAUUAAAAAAAAUUACUCCCCCAUAAAUACUAAGGGUUAGGCAAAAGUGUCUAAACUAUCAAUCAUAUUUUAAAUUAAACUCUAAAUUAUAGAAUGUACUAAUUAAUCCUUAAAUUACCAAUAUUAUAUUAAUUGGAUUUUUUAUCAAUUUAGGAGUAUCAAUUAAUGCUUCUUUGGUUCUAUAGUAAGCAUAUUUAGAACAUGUGGGUCAAAUUGUAAAUACGUGUAUACUUAUCAAAUGGACAAUUUGAGUAUGAUGUGUUACAAUAAAAUUGUUCAUGCAUAUGUAUACUUAUGUCUGCAAUAGGUUAGAUGGAUAAAAAAAACUUGAUUGAUAUUAUACUGAUACUUUGAAGACUCAAUUGAAAUAUUUUGAAAUUUGGAAAUUAGUUUAAAAUUUGAGUUAUAAAUUAAGGAUGUUUGGUGCAGUUAACCCAAAUUUUUAAAGAAAAUAUUACUAUUCAAUGCCUAAUUAAAUUUGUAUCACGAGUUAAUCGGGUCGAACAAAAAAAAAUAAAAAAUCCAAUUUUUUUAAAAACAACAAAUUUUAUUAUAAAUGUAUUUAUUUUUUUAAUAAUUUAAUUCUCUAAUAGGAUCUAUCAUAUCAGCUCUUUUUGACACAAUACCUAAAACUACCAAUAGCCUUUUCCUAACCCACAAAUAAGAGGAUAAUACGCUUCAGCAUAUUUAAAUCUACAUUUUUCUGUAUUAACAAUAAUAUCCAUGCCAAGACUCGAUUGACAAUAAAUUUUAUAAUUUUAUAAAUAAAUAAUUGAAUUUAUGAUGCUUUGGAGGUGGGGGGUUCGGAUUUUGACGUUGUUUAUAUAAAAUAAGAAUGCCUUUGUCCAGAAGGAACAAGGAUUUUGUCCACUGCUGCUGGCAAUAUUUUUAAAUAUGUACUGAGGAUGACGACCCACUACUUCAAAUUAUGUGAUUCACUUGUAAAUCUAUGAUCGCUCGUAAGAAACAAUUAUAGCAUUGAUAAUGACUAUUUAAUUAUUUAUAAUUAACUAUUUAAUCAUAUCAAACAUACUUAUACACAUUAACUAUUUAAUUAUAUAUUAAAUUAGGUUAGAUGUAGAGUUUAGGUCAAAAAUAAAAUUAUGUAGCAAAUAUAUUUAUAAAAAAAAUUAAAAAUAAUUCUAAAACGUAAAAGGUUAGACUCUGAUUAAAAUAGUGGAUAGAGAUGUUAAACAUCAUAGUAUCUUGGGUUCAAAUAUUUCAUUAUAUGUUUGUAUUUUUCUAUUUUUAUAUGAAUAUAUAUAAAAAAAACCUCCAAUUCUCGGGUCUAAUUUAAUUGAAAAAUUAAGAAAACUCAUUCAUUUUAAAAAAAAUGAAAAACAUUACCAUAAGAGUAUUUUUGUCGUUUUAUAUUUUAUGUCAAAUUUAAAAAAAUUAUAUUUCAAUGAAAUCCGAGCUUAAAGUAUAAUGGUUUUGAAUAUCUUUAAUUUUACUAUUUUAGUUAAAGUCUCAUUUGUUUUUACAUUUUCUUUUUAUAUAGAAUUUUUCCUAUUGUCAUAAAUGUGCGAUAAUUUAAUACUAAAUAAAGAAUAAAUAAUACAUUUAUUUUUUCUCAUUUUAAAAAUAUUUUAAUAAAUAAAAUUUAAGGGUUAAUGUAUUGAAGAAGUAAAUAUAUAGAGAGGAAAAAAGAUUAUAUGAAUUGUGAUACUAUGUUUUUUGUAUUCAUUUACAAUAAAUUAAUGUUAUUUCAGUAUUUUUAUCCUUAAAAAAAAUCAAAGCCAACAUAAUGUGUUGAAAUUUAAUAUGAAAAUGCUGAAAUAAUAUCAUAUUAUUAGAAAAUGAUACAAAUGACAUGGUAUCUCAGUUUCAUAUAAUCAUUUCUCAUAUAUAGAAAUAUGGGCGAUUUUAAAGGAGUAGGUAGGUGCAUUGGUCCUCGAAAAUUGAAAAUUACUAUGUUGAUCCCUUAAAAUGUUUAAAUUAUAAAUUAAUAUAUAAUCAAAUUGUAUUUUGACCCCCCCAAAAAAAUUCUAUUAAGUCCCUUCAAAAAGAUGAUUAAAUCAUAAAUUAAUACAUGAUAAAAUUAUACUAUAACUUGUCAAAAAAUUAUAAUUCAAUUCUGGUUUCUAGAUUCACUCCUGUAUCAAUCAAAGUAGGAAGCAAGUGUCUUUUCAUUUUCUCACAAUGAAGUAGGCCUUGGUAGCUAACAUUGUCGACCUUUUUUACUUAGAUAAUACAAAAAAUACCAAAAUGGUAUCCCAGUGCCAUUAUUUACUAAAAUGGUAUGUUAUGAACAAUGUUUAGGGGUGGAGGGUUUGAGGGUGGUAGCACCACCAUUGUUUUUGCUACCCAAUCAUUAAUCUGUUACAAAAAAAUUAGUUUUUUAACGGUGCAGGGUUUAGGAUCAAUGACCCCGGUAUGCUUUACGGGUUAAAUACGAGUAUUUGAAAAGUAAAUUUUAGUGAAUGGUGACAACUUGGCAGGCAACACCGAAAGAGUGGUGCCUUCCUGUCAAGUGACAUCGACUAUGGAUGUAAACCAUUGUUUCAGUUUUUUCUGAUGGUCUGAUGGGCUAUCGCGGGAAAAUCUAAGGGGACCUUAUAAUAACCAUGGUUCCUUCAGCAAUGGUGGUUUAAAAAAGAAGAGGGUUUUGGUUGUAAAAAAACAAAAGCAGAGAAAAGAGAAAGAAGACGGUAAAAAAGAAGAAGAUAGCAACAAUUUAAGGAGAGAAUAGAAAGAAGAGAGUAUUGGUCGUAUAAAAAAAAAGAGAGUAGAGAAAGUAGAGAAAAGAGAGAAGAGGGCUUUGCUUGUUAGGAAAAGGAAAAUAAUAGUUUAGGGAGAAGAGUAGUGUUUAGGGUCUUGAAAGGGGGACGGACAAUAGCCAAAUUCUUUGAUUUUGAAAGGUAAGUUUUCUUUUAAGUAAUUAUUAUGUAUUUCUUUAGUGUUUAUGGUUAUUUAUUAGUUGUUUGAUUUUGUGUGUUUAGGAAGGAGAGGAGGCUGUGGCCAAAUUUUUAUUUAAAGAUAAAUUUACUUUUUGUAAUUAUUUAAAGGCAAAUUUAUUUGUAGUUUUGGAAGUAGUAAUUUAAUUUGGUUUGAAUGUACAUUGUAAAUAUUUUUUGGUGGGCAAUAUUUAGUUGUUUGUUUGAUAAUUUUUUUAAUAUUUGUUAGGAUUUGUGGUAUUAUGUUAUUUAUUAGUUGGAUUUGUAAUUUUAUUAUUUAUUUGAUUUUAUCAGAAUAAUUCAAAAAAAAAAAUCAAAAAUGGGUUGCUGUACAAAUGAAUUACUGAAACGGGUUGUUUGUUUCAAAUUCAUAGGAAGACCCAUUUUGGUAUUUAAUUAUUUUUGAGAUUAUUGUGAUAAAAACCUCAAAUAUGUUGUAAAUUAAUUGUCUUCAAGUAAAUAAAAUAUCAUAAUACUUUUCAUUUUUUAUAAGAAAAUUAAUUUAUACAUGUUACGUUAAAUUGAUUAAAUACUAAUUAAUUGAACUGAAUUGGUUUUACAAAUUUUUACAAUUCACAUACGUUGAAUAUCUGUUACGUAAUAAAUAAAAAAUUGUUAUUAGGAUAAAAAAUGAAAAAAAAAGAGAUGAUUUCUAAAAAAUAAAUGAUCGAGUUACAUUAGUGUAUCCCAAAUUACGUUGGUAUUGACUUGUUUAUAAGGGUAAAAAUAUUAUUAAUUCUUCAAAAAAUAAUAAACGGUACAAAAUUCAUUUUCGUUAUUUGUUCAAGAGAUGAUUAAAUUUUUUAUUUGAAAUUGUAGAUGUCUGAAUGAACUCUUUGAUUACAAGAAUGGAUCACACAUUAGAUACGAUUAAUACGAUGUAACAAAAUUGUUAUUUGUUAAUCAUGAGUCCCUUUAUAAAGUUUCACGUCAUUUUUUAUUUAAUUGGGAUAUAUUAACUAUUGCGGUAAAUUAAUAUGGUCAGGGUCCAUACCGCGUAUUGAGGGGCCAUGACAAUAUUGUGGGCUAUCUGUCGAAUGAGUGUCUUAUACCAUACUUGGAGGCAUCUAGAUUCAGAUCAGUGACAUUGAUCUGCAUGUUUGAUUUGAAAUACAACUCGAUAUCCACUUUAGUCGAGCAGUGGCGCUCGAAGACCCACACAUUUCAUUUGUCGUGUGGGAAGUGCACUAUUACUCUGGAAGAUGUUGCACUGCAACUCGAGCUCCCAAUCGACGGUAGUGCAGUCAUAGGUGUAAGUAUAAUGUCCAAACCGGUGGCCCUUUGCUAUGACUUACUAGGCACUCGUCUAGUGAUGGUGGCAAUAAAUUAUAGUAAAAUAUUUUUUUAAAUCUUGUUUCUUUUUAAUGAUUACGAACUAGAAACAUAUAAUUAAUAAAUACUAUUCAUUCAACAAAUAUAUAAUUAUAGUAAACUAAUGUUUUAAAACUUUUGACUUAAUUUUUUUGAAAACAAUAUUCAUGCCAAAAUGGUGUUUAAAGAUGUAAUAUAGUUUUGUUGUUACUAAAAUAUAAAUAUGAAAAUUCCAUUGUAGUCAUAAAAAUUUUAUUAAAAGUUUGAACAUGGAGUACAUUAAUUCAUAUUCCACUUGAUCGAGACGAUUGUCCAAUGUGGUAGGUUCGAUGCAGACAUUUAGUUUAGUUAUGACUAGCUGUUCUGCACACGCCACAAAUUCUGAGGUCGAUUUUCUCCCUUAUGUCCAUUUCAUUACGGAUCCUGAUAACUUGCGAGCAACCUUUCAGCUUCCUAUGUAACCCCUUGUCUAGGAUAAGCUCGAAGUCAAUGGAGACACUUCCCAUGUAGACAAAUCACAUAAAAUGGGAAACUCGUUUCUCCAAAUAUGCAUAAAAAUUUUAUUACAAGUUCGAAUAUGGAGUACAUUAAUUCAUAUUCCACCCGAUCAAAACGAUUGUCCAAUAUGGUAGGUUUGAUGCGGGCAUUUAGUUUAGUUAUGACUAGUUGUUCUGUACAAGCCACAAAUUUUGAGGUCGAUUUUCUCCCUCAUGUCCAUUUCAUUACAGAUCCUGAUAACUUGCGAGUGAGCUUUCGGCUUCCUAUGUAACCCCUUGUUUAGGACAAGCUCGAAAGUUAGUGGAGACACUUCCCAUGUAGACAAAUCACGUAAAACGAGAAACUCAUUUCCCCAAAUACGCAAUGUGCGCUUGAGAGUGUACACUUCAUCAACAUAUUGUUCAACAUUUGAUCAAGGUGCAAGCACAAGCUGCAAUGACAUGCGUACAUGGGUAACGAAACGUCUAGAAGCACCGUUUAUUUUAGAGAUCAACUCCGUAGGACCUAGGUGGAAUACUGAGUCGACACCGAUGGACUCCAUAACUCAAAAAGUUUUUAACUGUUGAGACUAUAUUUCUAUAUUCAUCGAACUCGAUCUCUGAUGGUUCACAUCCAUUGCCUUUCUGACCUCCUUGACAAACACGUAUCCCGCCUCUAUUUCAUCAUGUAGAACAUAGUUGAGAAAACAGAUGAAAUUGGAAGAUGUCGUGUUUGCUUCAACACAGAGUUAAUCGCCCUGCCAAGUUGAUGGUUAUAGACAUACACCCAACGCACCAGCUUUCGAUUUCUUAUCUAUUUAACUUAGACUUUUACUUACAUCAAGGUGUACGGGUCACACAUAUAUAGUCUGUUAUCCAUUUAAGAUUUAGGUAUGUCACACUAUGAAUGUCACAAAUAAAUAAAUCCAUAAACAAAUUCAUGAUAAUUCUGUUUGGGUCCUGUCCAAUAUACUGUUAGUCCAGUCAGUCACAUCUAUAUCUCUAUCUUUUGGGAGUCAUCCGCUCCGAUGCCUAAGACAAAGCAUCUCCCUAAUUAGAAUUGAUAGACGACAUAUUAGUCUUUCAAUCAGUUUGAUCAUUUCUUAUUAGACUAAGGAUAUAUUUAGGCUCGUCUACUAAUACAAGUUAUCUUUCUGUACUAUGAUUCGACUAUAUAAUAUCGUUUAGUAUUAGUUAAACAUUUAAACAACCAAUGAGCAAUAUUUGUUUCUAUUUUGAUUUGCAUGAAAAAACCAUGUGAGGACAAUAAUACAAAGUAUAUUAAUGUAAUUCAUGAAUAAUUUUAUAAACCAAUAUGUUCGGAAAAAUUACAAGUAUACUUAGACGAAAAUACUACACUCAGGGCACCAGAUCCAACAUACUAUUGAAGAGGUUAUUUGUGAUUGGGUUAGGCAGAUCAUUGAAGGAAGCACUAUAGAUUCAGAGUUAAAUAAUACUCUUAUUGUUCUAAUUCUUAAAGUUUCUAAUCCAAAAAAUUUUAAGCAAUUCUGUUUAAUCAGUCUGUGCUCUGCUUUAUACAAGCUAGUUAUGAAGGUGAUAGUGAAUCGAUUUAAGAUUAUUUUGCCUAAGAUCAUAGGCCAAGAUCAAGUGGGGUUUAUUAUAGGUAGAAAUAUUAUUGACAAUGUUGUCAUAGUACAACAAGUGUUGCAUUCCAUGAAAAGUAAGAGUACAGUUCAGUGGAAAACUAUUAAGAUAGACUUAGAGAAAGCCUAUGAUAGGGUGCAUUGGGAUUUUAUAGAAGCAUAUUUUAAAGUGGUAGUUAUUUCUAACUUUCUAAUAAAUGUUAUUAUGUCGGCUAUCUCGACAUCCACAAUGUAGGUUUUAUGGAACGAAGUUCCAACCCCUAAGUUCAAGCCUGUUAGAGGAAUCCGUUAGGGGUGUCUUUUAUCUCUAUAUCUUUUUUGUGUUAUGCAUGGAAUGGUUGGCCCAUUGGUUUCAUUCGACUAUCUCAUCUAGGGAAUGAAGCCCUAUUCGGUUAUCUCGAAGAGGGCUUGCCCUUUUACAUUUAUUUUUUGCGGAUGACUUAGUGAUUUUUACCAAAGCGAACUUAUAGCGUAGCAAACUUCUUAUUGACUUGUUUGGGUGAUUCUGUGAGUUUUCCAGGCACAAGGUUAAUGUUUGGAAGACCAAUGUGUUUUUUUCUACUGGAGUCAAUAAAGACUUAGUGAGAAAGAUUAAUGAUAUACUCGGGUUCCAACACAUUUAGGAUCUUGGUCAUUAUCUGGGAGCUCCCCUUCACCAAAGAAUCACCAAAUGUACGUUGAGUUUUUUGGUAGAAAGAGUUCGGAGGAAGCUUUCUAGCUGGGAAGCCAAAGAACUCUCAUUUAUGGGAAGGCUUACUCUAGCAUAGUCAGUUUUACUUUCAAUCCCAAGCUAUCUCAUACAAUCCUUAAUGGUCUCAAAAGGCGUCUACAACGAAAUUGAAGAAAUGGUGCGGCAAUUCAUUUGGAGAUCUUCUGGUGGUAAAAGGAAAACGGCAUUAGUGAGGUGGGAUGUUAUUUGUUAGAUUAGAUCGUAUGGAGGUUUUGGGAUACGACAUCUUAGUGGUCAGAACUUCGCUUUUAUGAUGAGGCUUGGUUUUAAUAUUGUUACCAAAACUGAUGCUUUAUGGGUUCGGGUCCUUAGAGUGAAGUAUGGGAAAAAUGACAGAUUGCCAGAAUGUAUUGCAUAGAGUAGAAACUCUUUUAUGUUGAAAUCCAUUUCUAAGGCAUGGCCUUUACUGUGUGAUAAUUUGAUAUGGUUAAUGAAUAAUGUAAAUAACGUUCAUUGUUGGAAGGAUGCUUAGGUCUCUAAUAUAAUACCAUUAAGAAAACAUGUUCCUGCUUAUGCGAAUGUUGUUUCAUACUGUAAGCUGAGUGAGAUGGUUACGAAAAAUGCCACAUGAAACCUCAAUUUAUUUCGAGUUUGGUUGAUAGAAAAUGUUAUCCAACACAUCGUUAGCAUUCCCCCACCAAUGUCUUUUGUAGGACCAAAUUUGAUUUUUUUUUGUCGUUCUACAACAAUUGCCUUCUUUGUUAAAAGUAAAUAUUGGAUGUUGAAAAAAUGGUCUUGGAAUCCUAGAGAUGUAGUUUGGAAUAUAGUGUGGAAAUUUUCUAGGACUCAGAGAGUUAGACAUUUUAUUUGGAUAGUUCUAAAACAGAGACUCUUAACCAAUGUUGAGAGAAUUCAAAGGAGGAUUGGUCAGGAUGAGUUAUGCCUUCUUUGUGGACAUAGAUAUGUGGAUGCAUUACAUGUACCUAGGGAUUGCUCUGUUGCGAAAGAUGUUUGGUGCCAAGCUUUUCCACUAAGUCAACAUGGGGUUUUCUUUUCUAGCAAUUUAACAGAAUGGUUGAUUUCAAAUUUGCACGAUCACUCAAAUCACAACACGAGGGAUCAAAGUUGGGUUUGUCUAUUCGAGUUAUUAAUGUGGCAUAUUUGGAAAAAUAGAAAUUAUUUUAUCUUCCAAGGUAUAUCCAUGAAUCCAAAUGAUAUUAUUAAGGUCUCAUAUAGCUGGGCUAACCAAUAUAUUUCAGUACAUAGGGACGUGUCGAGGGUCAUCAUCCAAUUUGAUAAUUUUGAUGUUGUUAAAGCUAUUUGCUACCGUCAAUUAGCUGGGGCAAGUAUAUCACUUGUUAAGAGAAUCCAACAUAUUUUAUCCCAUGAAGACAAGAGGUUCGUGCAACAUACCCUUAAGAAAAAUAAUCAGGUAAGGAAUUCAUUAACUAAAAUGACUUUUGCGAAUGAUGAAGAUUUGUGUUUAUUUGAUGUCCUUCUUAUAGAGAUUCAAGUAAUUUUAAAAGAGGAUAGAGUGAGAGGUAAUUUGGCUCCAGUUAUUAAACUAUUUCAGUUUGUUUUUUCACAAAAAAAAUACAUCUAUUAGCCCUCUUAUAUUAACUAAUAAUUAAAAAAAUAUUUUAAAGUUUAUUCUAAUUAAAUUUGGGUGACUUGAUUCACAUACACCAAAUUCAAUUAGAGCUAUAGAUUAAUAAAAAUCUCAUAUGGUCACGUAACCAAUUUGUUAAGUUUUUAAAUGUACACAAAUUAAAAUGUCCUUUUCAAUAAUAAAAGGAUUAAAAUGAACAUUUGGUAUACUAUAAGGACUGGUAUUGUAUUUUAACCUCAUUUUUUGAGUGAACGAUGAUAUUAUAAAAAAAAUGAAAUUAUAACAAAUUAAAAAAUACCAGAACUAUACUUUAACCCAAAAAAACAAUAUCUUCAAUAUAUAUAUACACACAAUUUUUCUUUUAAGAAAUAUGUCAUAUUCUCAAGAGAAAAUACUUAUGUUAAAACUUUAAAGAUGAUAUUGUUGAAAAAAAAUCACAAAUACGAAUAUAAAUCAUAAAAUAAUCAUGAAAAAUAUCAAAAAAUAAGAGUAAAUCUGGAAAAUUUAGAUUUUAAAAUAUUGAGAUUAUUUUUAUUCAAGUUGAAGUUAUAACUUCUUUUGAAUUUAAAUUAUUUGUAGUUAAGGUAAUUUUUUAUUAAAUUCAUUUGGGUAGGUUAGUUCUUUUUUUUUUUGAAAUGCUCGACUGGAUUUUAAACAAAUAAAACAAAGUUUGCCUCUCACUUGGACAUUGGACCAAGGACCAGGCCUUAAAAUAAAGCAAAUAAUAUAAGAUAAACAGGCCUAGAAGACUAAAAUCCCUAAUUGGCCCCCAACAAGAUGGCCUAACUAAACCAAACUUAAAAAAUCAAAACUAAUAAAAAUCUACUCUAGAAAAUUCCAGCCCAAAGAAGACAGCUGUAUCCCAAAAAAUAUUUUGGCUUUCCAAUGCUCCUGCACAGCUCAUAAUAGCAGAUUCCUUCAAAUCCCAUAAGAUCUUUAACCUUCUGUUACACAUUUCCAUUUGACUGUUUCAUUUCAUCAGUCUGGAGUCCGUGGUCUUCUCCUCUCCAGUAUUCGCCGAACAUGCUCAGGAACUCCUCCUUCCAGGUAAUGGCCUUCAUUUACUUUCAACGCUUCCUUUACAAUCACAUGAGCAAAAAAAGUUUUCUGACUUUGGAAUAUGAUGGAAGUUUAGUUUUUGGUAGAAAUGCUUUAUCUCUUGAAUAUUUCUUAUUAUAGCUCCAAUAAUUGAAUUAUCUCUGUCUAUGUUCUGGCAUUUUUUUAUAACAGUUCUUGAAUCUUCAUUUAUGUCGCAUUCAUGAAAACCCAAUAAAAUUCCUAACCUUACUGCUUUUUCUCCUGCAUGUGCUUCCGCCGCAAACGGAGAGGCAACAUUUUCAUGAAUGACCGAUUUUGAGACCAAAAUAUCCCCUUGCAUGUUUCUAACUAGCAACCCUGAUGCGGAUUUGAAGAGUUGUUGAUCGAAAGCCCCAUCAAAAGAAAUGACUACCCUCGUUCGCCGAUCUUCAUGAGUAAAAACCCUUCCUUUAUCAGAGAUAAAUAGUUUCUCUUCUAAGCUUUGCAACUUUGAAAUAUAAUUGCUUAUUUGUCGUGAGAUCUCUCUGCUUGUUCUAUCUUUACUCUCAUAAAGCAAUUGAUUCCUGUUUGACCAGAUAAGCCAAAGCCCGUAGCAAAAUAGUCUGCACAGGUAAACCACUCCCAAAUGCUCUGAAUAUUAUUAUUAAGCACCAAGAGAAAUCUAAGUACUCCCAAACUUCCGUCGUUAUAAGACACAUUCUGAAAACAUAAUUGCUAUCCUCCUCAGACUGCCGACAUUUGGGACAUCAGACUUUAUUUGUAACUCGCCUCAAUUUAAGAUUAGCAAGCGUAGGGAUAUAAUUCCAGGAAAUUUUCCAGAUUGUAAUUUUAAUUUUCAAAGGGAUGUGUAAAUCCCAUAGUUUUCUGUAGAAAGUUGCAUUUUCGGCCUGUAUAAUAUUAUUACCAGGAAUCCGAGUAAUCUUUUGUAAUAGUUUAUAGGCAUUUCUAACCAAAAAGAUGCCUGAUGGUUCUCUACCCCAAACUUGGAAAUCAUCAUGUACAGACCUUGCCAAAGGGAUCAGCAGAAUGUUCUUUGCAAUACCCGCAUCAAAGGUAUUAAAAAUUAGAUCCGCUUUCCAUGUUCUACUUUCGUCCUCAAUCAAAUCAGAGACUAAUUCAAUAUCUGCAUUUCCUCUUUGAUGCUGUAACGUAUUCUCUUCAUAACCCGGUAUCCAAAGAUCGUCCUAGAUAGAGAUACUAUCCCCCUUACUGGUUCUCCAGCAUAAGCCUUUUUCCAGCACUUUUCUAGUUGACCAGAUACUUCUCCAAGUAAGUGAAGUUAGGUUCCCUAACCGUGCAUUUAAAAAUCUGUCGACAAAUAAUACUUGGCUUUUAAAACUCGAGCUAACAACGAAUCUGGAUAAGUAAUUAAAGGCCAACCCUGCUUAGCUAGUAACGCGAUAUUAAAUUUGUCAAACUCUCGGAAUCCAAUACCUCAUUCCUCCUUGAAAGAACAUAAAUCCCUUAAUGCACACCAAUGAAUGUCUUUCUUAUCCCUGCUUUUUUGCCACCAGAACUUUGCUAUUAAUCUCUCCAAUUCCGUACAAAAGGAUUUAGGAAGUAGAAAGCACGACAUAGAAUAAGUUGGAAUGGAUUGAAGAACCGCCUUAAUAAAAACCUCCUUUCCUCCUUGAGAAAGAUGUUUAACACUCUAAUUAUCUAUUCUUUGUUGCAAUCUAUCUUUCAAGUUUUGGAAAGACGCUUUCUUCCUCCUCCCCACUAAAUUAGGUAAACCCAAGUACCGUUUAGGAUCAGUUGAGCAAUGUACUCCAAGCACUCUAGUUACUAAACUUAUAUCCCUUUUUUGAGUAUUGGCACUAAAGAAAAUAGUAGAUUUUGAAUAAUUAACCUUCUGCCCCGAACAACCUUUAUAUUCGUGCAAAAUCUGCUUUAAUGAAAUCGCCCCUCUUUCUGUAGCCUCGCCGAACAGAAUGCAAUCAUCCGCAAAUAAUAAAUGUGAAACCUGUGGACCGCUUCUGCUUGCCUUAACUCCGCGAAGAAUUUUCUUUUUCAUUGUUGGUCUCAUAAGACUAGAUAGACCCUCCCCACAAAAUAGAAAUAAAAAUGGACUCAAGGGAUCUCCUUGUCUAAGGCCCCUAGAAGGAUUGAAAGUAGAACCACUAAAUCCAUUAAACACUAUCGAGUAAGAAACUGUAGUAACACAUCUCAUUAGUGAAUCAACCUAAUCGGGGUCAAAUCCCAUUUUCUUCAUUACCCUUUCUACAAAACUCCAUUCGAUGCUGUCAUACGCCUUACUCAUGUCCAAUUUUACUGCUAUAAAGUCUUUUUUCCCGACUCUUUUGUGCUUCUUUUGUGCUUCAGAGUAUGUAGAAGUUCAUAAGCUAGAAUCACAUUAUCAAAAAUCAAUCUCCCUGGCAUGAAAGCACUUUGUGCUGAAUCAAUACACUUGUCUAUCACAGAUUGGAGACAAUUAGCAAUAACUUUAGCUAUCAAUUUGUAUAAUACAUUACACAAACUAAUAGGACGAAAGUACGUAAUAUUAGAGGGAUUCACAAUUUUUGGGAUUAGCAUAAUAUUUGUCUUGUUAAUUGAGCUUGGAUCCGUACCUUCAUUUAACAAAUUGAGCCAAUAAGACAUGACAUCUUUUCCAAUAAUUAACUAGCAUUUCUGGUAGAAUAGUGCUGGAAAACCAUCCUUACCUAGUGCUUUUGUUGGUCCCAUUUCUUUCAACGCUACAUAAAUCUCUUCCUUUGUAUAUUCAGCCUUGAGUUUUAAAUUGUCCUCCUAAAAAAUGCAACGAUCAAUACUUGAAAAAGUGUGAUUAUAAUUUCGUCUCCUUCCAGCUAGAAACAACUGCUGAAAAUACGAUCUGGCUAUCUUUUCCAUUUCUUCAAUAACUUCAGUUUCCCUGCCGUCGUUAUAUUGUAACUUGCGGAUAUAGUUCUUUCUCCACCUUUGCGUUGCCUGCCGUCGUUAUAUUGUAACAGUACCCAAACCUCUUUUCCGGUAAGAUUUUCGGGGACGAAAAUCCCUAAGGGGGGAGAGUUGUAACAGCCCGAUUCUGGGCCUAGUCGGAAUAGUGGUUUCGGGACCACAAAUCCGACGAGGGAAAAUAUGGUUAUUAUUAUAUUUUUAUGAUCUACAAUUUCACGGAAAAUUUUCGUAAAAAUUUCGUUCGAAAAUUUCGACGUUUGGGCACUCAAUUUAGUCAAAAGGACUAAAUUGUAAAUAGUGCAAAAGUUGAGUUCUAUAUGUAAAAGUAUCUAAUUGAUAUGAAAUUUUAAAUUGGAGGUCUUUAUGUGGUAAUUAGACCAUUAGUUAGUUGAUGGACAAAAAUAGACAUAAGAAAUGAGAGAAAUAGAUUUUUUUUAAGUGGGGGCAUAUUAGUCAUUUGGUAAUAAAAAAAAUAAAAUGGGAAAAAGAUGACAAAAAUCAUCAUCUUCCUCAUUAGUUGCUGCCGAAAUUUGAAGGAAGCCAUAGCUAAGGUUUCUUUGCUUUCUCAAGCUCAUAGUAAGUGCAUCCUAGCCCCGUUUUUAAUGUUCUUCGCAUUUUUGGAAUCCUCGUAACUCGGUUUAGCUUAUUCUAGCAAUAAUUCGUGUUAGGGCUCAUAUUUGGAAAAAUACCCAUAGGUGAAAUGUGUUUAUUUUGCUGUUUUAUGGUGGAAUAUGAAGCUAUAAAUUAUGUUAAACAACUUUUGCUAAGCGAUUUUAAGCGAAAACGGGUAAAUAGGCAUAAUCGGUAAAAAUAAUUAUUGUUCAUAAGUGUAUGUUAGAGUGAGAAUUUGAUGUUGCCAUAGAAGGGGAAAAUGUUCAGCAUGUCAUAAAACCUAAGAAUAAGUGAUGAAGUUUAAUUUCCGAGCUUGGGGACAAAAGUGUAAUUAUGCAAAAGUUUGGGGGCAAAAUUGUAAUUUUUCAAAAAGUUGGGUGGUGGAUUAUUUUAAUGAAUGUGAACAUUAAAUGAGUUAAAUUUGCUAUUAUAGAUCAAGAAAGACGUGAAGAUUAUCUCAAACGAGGAAAAGAAAAGAUAGUGGAGUGAAGUGCAAUAUUACGAUAUUUUGCACCGAGGUAAGUAAACACGUGACUUGAUGUAUUAUUUUGACAUUAAUUGAUAUAUGUUGAGAUUUAUUUGGAAUUAAAAUAAAUGUUUGGCCAUAUCCUAAAAAUGUUGUUAAAUCGGGAAAGGUGGUAAAGGGUUGCAAUAUAUGAUUUAUGGGUUGAACACUCGGAAUAAGCCGAAGUAUGUUGUACAUAAAGGGGUUGCUGUGUGCUGAUUCCCCGAUUCAUUGGUGGUGCUAUGUGCGAUAUCCACCGUAUCUUUGAAAUGUGAAAGGGGGUUGCUAUGUGCUGAUUCCCCCGAGGGGUUGCUAAGUGCUGAUUCCCCAGUUCAUUGGUAGUGCUAAGUGCGAUAUCCACCGUAUCUCUGAAAUAAAGAGGGGGUUGCUAUGUGCUGAUUCCCCCAAGGGGUUGCUAAGUGCUGAUUCUCCGAUUAAGUGGUGGUACCCUCGCCCAUUGUUCCCAAUACCUCUCAUCCUUUUCAAUCUCAAAAUUAACAUCCACCUUUGUAUCAAUUAGUUCUGCUAGAUUUUCAUCGCUUUUAUCUUCUUCUAGCAAUUUUUUCAGCUUUAAAUGCAACAUCUCUUUCUUUGCUUUCCUACUAUAUCGAAUUUUAGCCGCCCAUUUCUGCAACCCUCUUCUAACACACUGCAACUUGUUUAAUAGGUCUCCUGAAGAAUUUUCCCAAAUACUCUUCACUUCACCAAUAAAUGAUUCCUCCAGCACCCACCAUGCUUCAAAUUAAAACCUUCUCUCCAUGUGCCUCGAAUAUUCGGAUUUAGUAUUUAUGAGCAAUAGACAGUGAUCGAAAAAGGAAUGUGAUAGAUGACGAACUUGAUAAUCGAGAAAUAAAACAAGCCAGCUGUCAGUAGCUACCCUUCUAUCUAGCUGUUCUUGAAUAUUAGUCUCUGGAAAUUACCUCUCUCCCAUGUGAACCAAUUCCCAGAAAAGCCCAUAUCAAUUAAAUUGCAAUCCUCCAACACCCUUCUAAAAGCUUCCAUUCUUCCUUCCUCCCGUGAUAAGCUUUCCUUGUCUCACAUCUGUACAUGAUCUCGUUAAAAUCCCCACUUACCAGCCAUGGAAGUUCCCCAGCUUCACACAAUUGUCUUAAAAGAUCCCAUGUUGCAUCUCUAUCUUGGUGAUAAAGAGAUCCAUAAAAUCCGGUAAAUCUCCAUUUAGUACCUUUCUCCAUAUCAUCUAUUAUCACAUCAAUAUGGCUAGUCGAAAAGCUUUGAAGUAAAACACUGAUAUCCCCUUUCCAUGCUAAAUACAAUCCUCCACUUGAACCAAUUGAUCCAACCUCAAUCCCAUUGAAAAAAUCGCAACUUCUUUGAACCUUUUCCAUGUGACUCCUGUCAAUUUUUGUCUCCAUAAAGAAGACCAUUUGGGGAUUAUGUAACUUCAACGUGUGUCGAAGUCUUCAAACUGCCUGCUGGCUCUCCAAACCGCGGACAUUCCAAUUUAAUAUUUUCAUUGUGCCCUGUCGGUUUGCCUCUUGGCAGUCGCCAAUAAUAAAUGUGUGGAAUCCUUUAUAACCUUAGUUCUCACAUCCAUACAGUUUCCUUCUUCUCUUACUGUUAAUCCUUCACUAUCCCCUCUUUUUCGUUUUUUACCUUCAUCCCCCAUUAGUACCCUAUCCUCAAAAUCAUGAUCCAUUGCAUUAAAGCUAUCCACCAUCCCUAAAUUUUCACCUUGAGGAUGGGAUUUAUACAGUCUCCCCUCUAAAUUUAUUCCCAAAAUGGGAUCUAUAUUGCUCCUAAUUCCCAUUUUCUUCUUGGGAAUUCUCAGCAUACCCCCUAUCAUUUGACUUCCCUCCUGAUUUCCGCCGAUACUUCCUCCUCAUCAUCAUGUAACCAAACACUUUUCAUAGCCAAAGCCCUUCGAGAUUGAGCCCGCAGCGUUAAAUCCCAUCCCAUUUCUGCAACUUCCACCCCUAAUGCCAUUUUUGCUUCACAAAAUAAAUCGCUAUGCCCUAAACGACCGUAAUAAAAACAAAACAGUGAUAAACGUUCAUAUUUAAAUCGAACAUAUGAACACUGGCCAUUAAACAUAAGCUGUUUCUUUCUUCUCAAAAGCUGACGUAUAUCCACUUGAAUUCGUAUCCUCAUAAAAUUACAAUUCUCUUUCCCUAACAUAGAAUUGUCAUACUCUAUAAAAAACCCUAUAAAAUUCCCAAGUUGCACCGCCAAAUGUUCAGCGAAAAAACCAAAAGGAAUAUCAUGGAUCUGAACCCAAAAGGGUGAAAAAAUUAAAGGGACAUUCAAUGGGUCUUCCUCGCUUUGCAGCUUAUGUAACAGCAGUAAAUGUCUGUUAAAGGUCCAUGACAAACCCUUUAAGACCCUUUCCAUGUCCAUAAUAUGAAAAAAUUGAAACAAUUACCUUUUUUCCCCCAGAUCUCGAAUUUAAACACCACAGACAGGAUACCACAAAUUUGCCAUGGUAUUUUUCAUUCCUGGAAAAUGGAUGACACUAGCUGUUAAAAAGCAACCCACCAAUUGGAAAAAUCCCCUCACCCUAUAUGUGUUUGUUUCUGCUUGAAUUUGCAAAACCUCAUCUUUCUCCUCAUUAAUCGAAAGUUCAGCAAAAUUAGAUUCCAUAAUCAAGACUCACGUUCAGUAGCUAUUGUAUUUUCCAAAGAAAAAUAGAUAGCAGCAGGGCAACUGCUAGAGAUAGCAGACAGAGACGUGCUAGAGAUAGCAGACCUAAAUAAAGAGAUUAGGUUAGUUCAUUAAAUAAGGUAGAAUUAUUAUCUUUUUAUGUUGAAAUAAAAUUAUAUCUAAUUUAAAUAUAUAUUAAUUAAAUAGUCCAACAUAAGUAAAAUUCUUAGUUAAAUUUAUUUGUGAAAUAUUUUGAAAUAAACAAAAUACUUACUCGAUAGCUAUGUUUACUUGAAUUUAACAUAAAAGUUUUAACAAUUUUUACAAUUAAAUUUAUAUUUUUAAACUCGAAAAGUGAAAAAUAGAUAAUUAAAAUCCUAACAAUAGAAGUAAAGAGACCAAAUUUUAAAUAUAUGAAGAUUACAGGUACUUAUAAAGAUUUUAAACUUUUUUUUUAAUUAACUCAUUUUCUUUCUCUCUAUUGACACCAAACCACACUAUAACUACAGGGAAUUAGGAAAAGCAAAAAUUCUGUAUUUAGCUCCUUGAAAAUUCGCUACGUUUUCUCCCAUAUUAUAUGCUCUGCUCUGCUCGCCAGUUCCCAGUCUCUCCAUGAAAGAACCUUCCCUCUCCCUUUAUCCUCUCUAAACUUCAUUCCAAUCCAACCCCUUUUUUCUCUCUUGUUUUUUCAUUACUAAAUCGACUAAGGAACCUUUUUUUUUGGGUUCUUUUUGAAAAGCAAAACUCCCGAGCAUUAAUGGAGAAAAAGCAAGGUUUUUUCUCAGCUCUCAAAGAGGAAGUAAUUCGUGGGCUUUCACCUUCCCGCUCGAGGACCAACAGCCCCGGAAGAGCCCGGUCACCUAUUGCCAUUCUGUUGCGGAGAAAGAAAAGCGGCCACUACAACUACGGAGGCGCUUACCUGGUACAACCGGAGCCCUUGAUCGCGAGGUACGGUGUCGGGGAAGCGUUAGCUCCGCUCAUGGAAGGUCCCGACCCGGACGGAGGCGAAACCGGGGAUUCCAAGAGGCUUGGGUUGGGGCUAGGACAAUGGGUUAUGGGACAGUUAUCGAGGACUCCAUCCAUGGCUUCCUUGAGUUGCAAAAGGUCCGAUCUAAGGCUGUUGCUCGGGGUCAUGGGCGCACCUUUGGCUCCUGUUCAAGUUUGCUCCACUGACCCUUUGCCUCACUUGAGCAUCAAAGACACUCCCAUUGUUAGUACCCUUCCGCCCCCCCCCCCCCCCCCGGUCUUCUUUAGCUUAUAAUAGACUUAAAAAAGAACAAAUGAACUUCUGGGUGUUUUUUUUCUGCUUAUGAUGGUUUGAAUGGCGACUAAAGUAUUUAUCAUUUAUAGUAUUUUAUUUGUAAUGUUCUUGUAUUUUUCUUUAAGCUUCUUCUAUGGUCUAUGGAUCCAUUUUAUUAAAUCAUGGUUUUCAAACUGUGGUUAGCAAGAAACUUGAGUAAAAACUCCAUUUCUUUGCGGUAUGGUGCAGGAAACGUCCACUGCUCAGUACAUAUUGCAGCAGUAUACAGCUGCUUCCGGUGGUCUGAAGCUGCAAAACUCAGUCCGGAAUGCGUAUGCGAUGGGAAAACUGAAAAUGGUAGCUUGUGAGUACGAAACUGCUGCGAAGACGGUUAAGAACCGAUAUGGCUCCAGAGGUGCGGAGUCCGGUGGGUUUGUGCUCUGGCAAAUGAAUCCGGACAUGUGGUAUGUUGAACUUGCGGUUGGGGGCAGCAAGGUUCAUGCUGGCUGUAAUGGGAAGCUUGUAUGGAGGCACACACCUUGGCUUGGAGCUCGCACUGCAAAGGGGCCUGUUAGACCCUUGCGUCGUGCACUUCAGGUGAGGUCUCCUAUGCUUAUCAGCAGCUGAAUAUUGGCUCUUCGGUUAUAUUUCUAGCAUUACUGGCUUUCUGAUUCUCUCUUUGUGCUUCACUAUUCCUAAAUCAGGGUCUUGAUCCGAGAACUACAGCUAGUAUGUUUUCUGAUGCAAAAUGUAUAGGAGAGAAGACAAUUAAUGGUGAGGAUUGCUUCAUCCUCAAGCUCUGUACCGACCCCCAGACAUUGAAGGCAAGGAGUGAAGGCCCUGCGGAGAUCAUUAGGCAUGUCUUAUUUGGCUACUUUAGUCAGAAGACCGGGCUUCUGGUUCACAUGGAGGAUUCACAUUUGACUCGUAUUCAAUCCAACGGUGGCGAUACUGUUUACUGGGAAACCACAAUCAAUUCAUAUCUUCAUGAUUACCGACCUGUCGAAGGUAUCAUGAUAGCACAUUCUGGCCGUUCUGUCAUUACACUUUUCAGGUUCGGGGAAGCUGCAAUGAGCCAUACGAAAACAAGGAUGGAAGAAGCUUGGACGAUCGAGGAGGUUGCCUUUAACAUACCAGGCCUUUCUGUUGAUUGUUUUAUCCCUCCAGGUGAUUUGAAAUCUGGAUCCAUCAGUGAAACCUAUGAACUACCUCAGGACGAAACAGGGACGAGUGCGAUCGCCUUAUCAGCAUAUCAUGCCAAAGUUGCUGCACUCGAGAGGGCACAGGAUAAUUGGCUGACAGUAUGAUUUGCAGGAUACAAGUCUGAAGAAGUGUAGAAUUCACAACUUAGCAAGUGCUCAAAUUGGUAGCUAGUUCAGUUGACUAAUCCAUUAGAAGUUAAAAAAAAGAAGAAGGUAGAAGUCAAUUUUUGGACUUCAGUGUUACGCCUCUAUUAAUCUGUAAAUAGAGCAUAAUGAUUCAUAUCGGGACCUCUAUGAAUCUUUAUACUCUCAAUGCAGAAUCCAACUAUGGAGAGUUGGAGCUCGGUUUUUCCAAUUAGGGAUAGAGCUAAUGGAGGUUGGUUUUUAGUUUACCUGGCUUUGAUGGUAAGUAGCAAAGCUGCCCCAUCGACCCUUUUAUUUUUUCUAUAGUUAUACUAACUAUAUAUAGUAUGGCAGCAUAAAGGAUGCUGCCAGUUUAACAGUAAUGUCUAGGUUUUUUUAUUUUUUUUGAUGUUACAAAUUCUGGAUUUGUGAUUCAAAGUGUGAUGAUUUGGGUUGAAAGUUGUUUUGGGGGGGUUUGAGAGAAGGGAAAGAGAUUUUGCCAUUUUUGUGGAAAUGGUGAUAAAUAGGCAUAAUGGUAAAUGAGAUGGAACUAACUAUAUUUCUUACCUUCUGAAAGUUAUUCAAUGCUUUUGAUGAAUAUACAGUGAUCCCCAUAUUUCCUUCAUUCUUUUCUGAGUUUUAAUACGUGACUUGUGAAUGCCCAGAUUAUCUUUGUACUACAAGUGACGACACUCGAACCCUAAUGCUGUUGUUAGGGUGUUAAUAAGAACUUUGGUUGAACCACCAUAUCUUUAAGAAUAUACUUAAUCUUCCUACACCAAGUAGGCAGCAAUAUCUAAGGUUAUCUUUGACCCAUCACUGCCAUUGGAACCCUUUAAGGCUUGAGUGUGUCCCCUUGGUGGGGUGUCCAAAGCUGUUUUUAGUCAGACAAGCCAACAUAUUUUUGAAGCAAUGCAAAGCCCCACCUUUGACCACAGGUGUAAUGUGGGGUUAGGUUGGUUCAGUGGUGUGAAGUUGUGGUAGCAUCGUUCAAAGCUAAAAAAGCUAAGCACGAGAUGAAAGUUCCUCAAAACCCCCAUGUGAUUCUUCAUUCUUUUGCUUUUGCUUUGAUUCCUUUGCUUAACUGUUUUAACAGAUCUUUUUACCUGCUUUUGCCAACUUAUUUAUUUAUUUAUUUCGGUCUUUCUUCAUCUUUACUCUCUAAGAUAUAUAUAGGUGCUGAGGGUAGGGAAAGUUCCAACUCAUCCCAUGUUUUCUGAAAAGUCAAUCUAUCUUUCUUUUACUCCAUUUUCUUUUUCAGGAGCCACAGAGGACUUCUCUCUAUAUGUAAAAUCAAGUCAUAAAAUUUGGGCAUAUUUUAAUAAAUGCAUUAUAAUAUAUUUUUACUAAAAUGUUUUUCUUUUAAUUUUACAGGUAUUAUAUCUAUUUUGAUUAAAUUUUAUCAUUAUAGAUGGCUUGAGGAGUUUUUUUUUUUUUUUUUACUUUACCGAUGGUGUACAAGACAAUAAUUCAAAAUAAUAAAUAUAAAAUAAGAAAAAAAUACUAUAUAUGUAUUUGUAUUAAGAGUUGAAUUUUAUUUUAUCCUCUCUACUCAAAAAAUGGGUUAAUUAGUCAUGUAUGUUAGAUCAAAGAGCAAAUUGAUCUUUUUGUAAAAUAUUCUAUCCAUUCUUGCUACUAAUAAUUGGUCCAUAGACUAAUUUACUCUUUCAUCUAAUGUACAAGAAUUAAUUUAUCCGUUUUUUAAGUAAAGGUAGCAAAAUACAAUGUGACUUCUAAUAUAAGAGUUUUCAUGGUACUUCUAUUAUAUAAAACAUUAUAAUAUUAUGUAAAAUAUAAAGUUGAGUUGGGAUGUUUUUUUUUUUCAAGAAGUUGGAGGGCAGGUGGAUUGAAGAAAUCAUUUUGGGGUCGGAAUUGGAUGCUAUUAAUUUUGAGUUUAACUUGUUUAAUUUGGUUGACAUCCAUAUUUUUAUCAGUACGAGAAGACGUAGAUUUGAGUGCGUUGUAGUCCAUUAACCUUUUCCCUUAAAAACUUAGCUGUAAAGUAAUUGACAAAACAAUUUACUUACAAUAAAUUUGCACUAGAAUAAUUUCUUGACUUAAACAAAAUAGGUUCUCUUAAUCUCAAGAAUUCUGUUAAAUUGGUGUUUAAUGGCUUGCAAAAGUACAACUAAGGUGUUCAAAUUUCGGUUAAAAUCGAAUGAACCGACCGAAUCGAACUAAUUCGGUUGAUCUGUCAGUUAACCAAUCUAAUUCGAUCAGAGGGUGGUUAAUGGUUUCUUGGAAGUUCGAUUAUCGGUUAAUUCUGGUUGAAAUCGGAUAAUUAACCGAAUUAACCGAACUUUUAAAAAACCAAUAUUAUAUAUUACCAUUUCGGUUAAGGGUUAAGGGUUUAAAAAUUUCGGUUAAUUCAAUUAAUGCUAGUUUGGUUUGGUUAAACGAUUGAGCACUCCUAAGUGCAAUUAAUGUAGAUCUCUCUCUUUUUUUCUCUAUUCAAAAAAUAGUCUUCAAUAAAGAAAAAAGUGGAAGAGAUAUUCUCGAUAUAAACUUCUUUAAAAAUAAAAUCUCUUUAAUUAUGGAAAUUUCGAUCACAUUGAAAGUAUUGAUAAAGUCCUUACUUUGACAUGAUUCUUAUACAAUUUGCCUUCACUAAUGCACUGCCAAAAAAGCCUUCCAAGAUGCUCAAUUAAAAACCCCAAUAGUUUUGAUCAAAAGAUGUCAACCAGUAUGAUAAGUUACAGUUGUUUGCCAAAUGCACGUUAAAUUACAACUGGAGUUGCACCUGACAUUUAUAACUAGCACUAACAAAUUAAUUGAGUGUAAAUCUUUGAUUGCCUUCACUAUGUGUAUACUCAAACAUAUAUGUUGAACAUACAUCCAAUAAUAACAAAAAUAACCAACAAGCUAUUGGUUUAGUAAUAACUUGUACGUGGGUUCAUGUGUUGACAUGCAUCUAGGGUUUAAUCCCUAUGAAAUCCCUUUCGGCUAAAAAAAGGGAAAAAAAAACGUAUACUUUAACAAUUUUUAAGGUAUCUACUAAUUAUUUCAUUUAAUUUUUUAAUACCCUUCAUUUGUGUAGAAGGUUCUUUAGUGGAGAGAGGAGGUGUUGCAAGCAAGUAAAUAGAAUGCAUCAGGAGUAGCUAGAGAGGAAGACUGGAGCAAAUCUUAUAAAUUGAGCGUAGUAAUAGGUGGGGGCUUAUAAUGUGGAAAAAGGUUGCACGUGGCUUAGAAUAAGACUAAGUAUGAGAAUAGUUUAAAAGAGUUUUAGAGAUAGUUUUGGGAGUUAGAAUACUAAAAUUGUUAAAAAGUCCUUUCACAAGUUGCAAAAGGCUUCUAUUUAUAAUGUCUAAAAAUAAGAGUAUUAAAUAGGGGUAAUGACAAAUAUUGUAAGUUAUAAAGGCAUUAAUAUCCUUUUAAUAAUAAAUAGUUUAGGCUUAAUGGUGAAGGGUAAAUAAGGAAUAAGAAUUCACUAUGUUUCUGAAAGAAAAGAGAGAAUCACAUAAUGUUAUAUGAAAAAGUUAAGAAGAAACCUUUUAACUACAUCCUUAUUUGAUCCACCAAAUCGAUCUUCGGAACAUCCUAAGAAUCUUGCCUUAUUUUGAGGUUAUUUCCACUUCUUCCGUUUUUGUGAAGUAAUACCUUGUGAAACAUUUUAUCUAGAACAUCACUUGAAAUGCAAGCUAUUCUUAAUGAAGAAUUCUUCUUGAAUGAGAGUUGUUCCUGAAUAAGGGUUAUUUUUACUUAUUCCAAAAGUGAAUUGUUCUCAACAUAGCCAUCCUUAGUAGUGGUUGUUUCAAGCAAGAAUCGUUUUGCAAUGAUGCUUUUCUUUAAAGAGAUUAUUUUGAAUAAUGACUCAUCUUUAAAAAAAAAAAAGAAAAAGAAACUCACAAUUGUUCUAAAUAGAAAUUGUUUUGAAUUAUGGAUAUUCUAAACAAAAAUUGUUUUGAACAUUAGUUGUUCCCAAAUGACAACUAUACUCACAGCUAUUUAAACUAGAGCUUUAUUCUGAACAUAGUUAUUUUGAACUAGCUAUUCUUAACGACGAUUAUUUUGAACAACAAUUAUUUUAAACAAAAAAUGUUCUUUCGGAAAAAGAAUUAAGUGAAACAAUAUUUUUACUUAUUCAUAGUUAACCUUUUUAUCAUCUUUGGGAGUGCAAUUCACCUUAUUACUCUGAAAAGAGAUAAAAGAUUAGUAGUAAAACUAGUAUCUACAUUUUUUUUGUCGUAAUCAAGGUAUCUAUCGCUAAUGGCAAUGACUAAUCCUCUUGCCAUGGGUGAAAACGAUUAGUCAUAAAAUGUUUUAUUCCCUUGAGCAGAGAUCGAACCCUCAACCGUAUAAUAAAGGAUGAGAUGAGCAAUCACCACACUAUUCCUCAUAAUUAAAACUAGUAUCUACAUUUUAUCUAUCUUAUGGUUUCUUUUUGUGUUUUUUUUUCCAUCUUCAUAAGUUGCAGCAGGAUAUUUAGGGAGUGUUGUUAAACUGGUGGACAUUGUUGAGCACUUCAAAAAUACAUGUGGAUAAUACACAAUAUAAUAUGCAAUAAAAGUUAGCAAUGUCAAUUCAUAUUAGAGUGUCGGCAAAGGAAAUUUGUACGUGAAAGUGGUAAAAACAUAGAUAUUUAUGAGAGUGAAGGGGUAAAAAAAACCAUAUUAAUGGCAGUGCAUGGUGGAGCAAUGGAGCAAGAGGGUAUCUCAGUUGACUUCAACGUACGUUGCUUUCAAUGGGGGGAAAGGGGAAACUUAAUUUAUUUUUAUUUUUGCUAAAAAUUUAUUGAAGAUGGUUAAGAAAAGGACAAUACGAGGGACUUGUACAACAUUGAUAAAAUCUAAUUGUUGCAACAUUCAUAAAAAUUUGUUUUGGGUAAGUGGUGGGAGAGUCUAUCACCUAUCCAUAAGUCGGGUUAUUGGUUUGAAGGUUACUCGAAAUACAAAGGGUUUAGAUAAAAAGACGAUACUCACAAAAUGAGUUUCGGCAAAAAGUAGGCUGAUUAAAAAUAAAGACUAGACCUAAACUUUAAUAUUUAAGGCUCGAACUUAGCUCGACCCACCCAUUCUAUACUUUUGUAUUAUAUUUUUAUUUUAUGUAUAUAUUAUGUAAAUUAUAUCACAUGAAAUUAAAUAUAUAUCUAUGAUAAUACAAUACUAGGUAACAUUAUAACAAAGAUGUCUAAAUUUAAAUUUUUAAUAAAAAAACCAUAUAAAAUAUAAAAUAUUAAAUUAAAAAUAAUAUAUUUUUUAAAAAAAUAAUAUGAACGUGCCUAAAACAGAUUUGGAUUAACCAUUUAUAAAUCUAGGAAAAUUUAAACUAAAUUUUAGACACAUAUUUAGAGUCAGGUCGAACCAAGCUUAGACAAAUAUAAAAUGUGUUAAUAUUAUACAAUACUUGACUCACCCAUAAACACCUCUAACCUUUACUAAUUGAAAUUUGGGAAACUAUUGAGUUGCAUUUUAUAUAUUUCACAAGUAUGCAGGCUAGGUUUUGGGUUGGUGGCAUCCAUGGUUGAAGGUUUGGAAAUUUUAAAAUAUCAAGUUUGAGUCUUAAUUUAUAUAAAUCAUAUUUAGAUUUUUAGUUUAGAUUUGUUUUGAAUCUGAUAUAAACGCAUAUAUUUAACUAAUUUUUGUUUCGAAUAUAUUUUUGUUAUCAGUUCAUUUAUACAUUGUAAUGAUUGAUUUUGAUCGUAAUGAUAUAAACGUAUAUAUUGUAAAUAUAAGUAUAACUUUUAAGAUUAUAUAUAUUUAACUAAUUUUCUUCUAUGUAAAAUGCACAAAUUAAUUAUAUGUAUUAUUUUUAUUGCAUUACAUUAUUUAUUUACAAAGUUUUGAUAUUUCUUAGUAUUAAGUAUUUUUUUAAUUAAUGUCUACCACAUUGCAUAUUGAGAAGUUAUCAUAUGUCAAUAUAAACUAACGAUGUUAAUACGAAGAUACCAACUAGAAUAUAUACGCAUAUAUACAAAUAUGUAUUGUAAUGAUUAAUUCUGAUCGUAAUGAUAUAUAUGCCUAUAUUGUAAAUAUAAUUUAGACGUGAAGUAUAGAUGGAUAUUUAAGAGAGUAAAGGGAGAAAAAUCCCAUAUUAAUGGCAGUGCAUGGUGAAGCAAUGGAGCAAGAUAGUAUCUCAGUUGACUUGAACAUGCAUUGCUUUCAAUGAGGGAAAAGAGGGAAACUUAAUUUCUUUUUCUGCUACAAAUUUAUUGGAGAAAGAUGGUUAAUAAAAGGGACAAUAAGAGGGACUAGGACCAGAUUGAUAAAAUAUAGUUGUUGCAACAUUCAUAAUAAUUUCUUUUUGGGGAGACACCGUGGUUGAUUGAAAUAUGGGAAAUUAUUUUGUAAUAGUGUUGAAGUUUUUUAAAUUUCACAUGUAUGUCAAUGAGGUUUUAGCUAGAUGGCAUGGUCGAGGUUUUGAUAAUUUAAAAUUCUCAAGUUUGAAUCUCACGUUGUAUAAAUUAUGUGUAAAAUUUCAGUUUAGAUUUGUUUUUUACAUUUGAAUAUGUAAAAUUAAAUUAUUUGUAAGCACCAACUCCCUCAUAGACAAUCAUGGGGCUUUAGAUGGGCCUAAAAGUCUCAAAGUCAGCAGGCUCCAUACGCGUCAACUUAGUGGACCCACAUCACUCAAGAACUUGGCCCAUGCAUAUGAUUCAAAAUAAUAGUAUUGUUGUUGGGUCCAAAACCAAAUAAAGCUAAAACUAUGUUGCCUAAAUUAAAUAACUCCUACAAAAUCAUAGAUCAAUAUAGAAAAGAUGUAGAAUAUGCUUCGCAUUUUGGUUAAAUUAAAACACAAAUAGAGAGUGACGUCGUGAUAAGGAGUUUUGGAUGUCGCGACGACACCAUAGGGGACAUUGCAAUUUUCUUGAUUUUCUUCUUCCAGUCAAAUUCUGAUUAUUUGUUCUAGUCGAACUCUAAUUAGUGUAGAUUAUUUUAAGAUUAUUUGACUUACGAAUUUAGCCUAUAAAUAGGCCCUUUUUUCUACCCUAGAAAGAUUAACCCAUAACACAUUUAAGUAUUAGCUUUUACAAGCUUUCUGAGAAUUUUAUAUUUAAGUUUUGAGAGUUCUUAUUUUCAGGUUUCGGGAUUUAGCUUUUAUCUCCAUCUUUAUACUCUUCGUUUUUGCCGAUUUAGUGAAUUAUCUUUGCCUGUGGUUUUUACCCUCUUCGGAGGGGUUUUUUCACGUAAAAUUUGUGUAUUCGAUCUUUUCAAUUUUUUCGUUAUUUUUCUUGUUCAUUGCUUAUACAAGUUUAUCCCCAACAGAAGAGGUCAUUGUCAUCAUUUAAAGCAGAAUCACAUCUUAACCUAACUUAAACUUGAUAAACACAAACUCAAAAAUAGAAAUUUGAUUUCAUAAAUUUGAUAUUCCAAGCUUGAUACUAAAUAAUCAAUACCUACAAAAUACUUAAAAACAAAAAAAAAAAAAGAUAAUCAAUCUCCGCUUCAUCUCACAAGACACAAAGUUUUCAAAGCAAAAUCAAAGAUUCGUUACAAGAUCUAGCCAAAACAUCAAGUAAUGAUCCGAUCAAAAUUCCAUCAAAGAAAUAUUAUUUACAAUUUCAUUAUAUUACUCAAAGAAAUGCUCUCACCACUCCCAUUCAAGGACAGCCAAAAUGUCUCUAAACAUUAACUCAAAACAAGAUCCAAAGAAGAAAGUUGAAGAAUAAAAGAGAAGUUGUGACUAACCCUCUUAAAUCGCUUUAAGCCAAUCAAUUAUUACAUUUAGCUUUAACUACCCAAGUUAUCCAACACAUUUAUUUUGAUAGGAAUAAUACUCAUAAGGACUUUAAAAUAAAGUUGUAAUCAUUAAUUUCAAUUACUUUAUUUUCAUCAUGUGGUAGACAUUAUAACCAUGCCAUUGCCAACAACAUCCACAUGGUACCAUGGUCACAUCUCCCCAUUGCCCACCCAUACAUUCAUGGUUCCAUUUUAACUACCCUUUCCAUGACAUCUAUACAACUAUAUAUUAAAGGCACUAAAGCUUUUCAAUUCUAAUUUUUUUUUUUUUUACUUUUUAGAUUAUAAGAAUGGGUAAUUUCCAAUAUGAUCCCUAUAUUUUAUUUAAAUUUAAGAUUUAAUCUAUAUACUUUAAUUUUGACAUAAUUUAAUAUCUCAAUUUUUAUAAUGCCAUUAGUUAGCCUAAAUAUUUUAUUCUAAUUAAAAUGAUUAAUAUAUGAAUUUUUAAGAAUUGUUAGCACUCUUAAAUUUUUUUAUUGAAUUUAUGUCUGUUACAAUGUUUUUUUUUGUUACAUGCAUACCAAGUUUAUUUUAUUUUUUCAAAAUGCCUAACCAACACAAAAGAAUUUUAACAGUAUUAACAAAUGGACCUAAAUUUUUAAAUUCGAAAAGCAGAGAAACUAAAUUCCUGAAAAUAAAAAUAUAAAGAUUAAAUUCUAAAUAUAUGAAUAAUAAAAAAAUUUGAACAGAUUGUAACCUUUAAAGUUUUACGCUAUAAUUUAAUUAAAAAAUAAAUAACUUAAUUGUACCCUUUGGACAAUAAUUUGAGCAUACCUUCAAAAUUGCUCAAGAUUAAAUGUUGACAUUUUGACUUGAUCUCCAUAAUUGUUUUCUUAUAAGCAAAUAAAUGGUGGUCGAAUUUGGAUGAUUGAAGGAACUAUGAGAUCAUCAUGCCCUUAUCCAUUAAGGCUUACCCUCAUCCUUAUUCUUUAAACAUUAUCUUAUGAAUUAUGCUGAUGAAUUUUCUUAUAUAAGAUUGUAUUUUGAGAUGAAUUUUGGAGGUUUUUAUCUCAAAUUAUUAUGCAUUAAAUUGGUGAUUUUAUCUCCACAAAAUCUGCUAAGAGGAGACUUUUUUACUAGUUUAUAAAUAGACUGCUACUUCCUCGUUGAGUUAUUUGGGUGUAUUUAGACACUCCUUGUUCUUUUGUACUAGCAUAUAAAUACAGUGUUGAUCAGCUUCCUCAUUUAAUACUGUAUGUAAUGUGAGUUAUUUGGAGAGAUUAAUUUGUUUGCAGCUACAAUUAUUAUUGCGAGAGGUUAGAUUGGGCUUUUGCUAAUAGUUAUAUCGGAUUAACUGUUGAAUAAAAUUAUUCUUUGAAUGAAGCUUGCAAAUAGGAUUUGUGAAUCCAUAUUGAUUCUUUAUUUACUUAUCUUUUGUCUCAUGUUUUGAAUUUGUGUUUAUUUCUCUCUUUAUUUUACUUCUUUUUUUAAUGUGUUUAAAAGGUUUUCUUCGAACUUCUAUUCAAUCAUCUAUUUGAAUAUUAAAUUAAAUGUUGAAUGAUAAAAAAACCCGAAAAAACAAUUUAAAAAAAAAAAAGAAUGAUGAGAGAAGGAAGUAGGCAGCCACCAACACAAAAUCCCAUACAAAAAGAAACAAUAGAAGUCCCUCCAAUACAAAUGAAAAAUAUAAAAGCUCCCCUCAAAAAAAAUCUCCCAAAGAAUACAAAUAUAUAUAAAUAAAUGUAAGCUCAAAUAUGCAUAGUAAAAAGCCCCAUCAAAGAGACUUAAGCCAGUAACAAUAUAUAAUGGAAAUUAAAACACUGAAAACAAAAACCAUAGCUAAGACACAAGUGGUGAAGAAAAGACUUCUUGGUUUAAAGCAUUAAACUGAGGAUACCCCAUCCAAUCACCAAGCUCCACACCAUCUUUCUUAUGGACCAUGUUUUCUGUACUCCACUCUGCAAUAAUCAAAUAACAUCUUGUAUUCAUAUUUUUUCCCACUAUUAUUAUAAUUGGAUAUGCAAAAAAAAAAUAGCUUCAUCCAUUGAAAGCUAAACAUGUUUUUGGAUAAAAAUAUAUUAAAUUUGAAAAAAUGAAUUUAGACUAUAAUAUUAAAAAAUAUUUAAAAAAUAAAUUGGGUUUUAGUUAAAUAUUUGAAGUAUAGACAUAGAUAGAAUUAAUUAAUUAUAAAUAUAGAUAAAUUUCAACAAAAUUUAUAGAUGCCAUUAAUAUGAUAUGUGUGUGUUGAUCCAACCUGAGGUCUAAUUAAAGCUUUCCAUGUCAGAGUUUACGUUAGAAUUUAGAACACCCUCUAUAUUUUUGCUAUAUUAGACAUACUUAAAUUUUAAACCCCAUAAGAGAAUAUGCAUAUACAUAUACAUAUAGAUAUACAUACCGUAUCGGUUCCAGCAGGGCCUGGUGAAGAAGCGCCGAGGCUGGGAGUAGGGGCCUCAUUUGAUGGAGACGGUGGGCUGGAGGCCGAAGGUGAUAGUGCUGGAGACUUAGCUUUGGUCUUGCUAGGGGCCGGAGCUGGAACCGUGGCAGGAGGAGAAGCCAAAGGAGCUGGUGGUGGGGUAGCUGGAGGAGGAGUAGCAGGAGGGGGAGAAGCAGGUGGUGGGGUAGCCGGAGGUGGAGAAGCCGGUGGGGGAGUUGCGGGAGGUGGAGUAGCCGGGGGAGGAGAAGCUGGUGGUGGGGAGCUAACGGGCGGGGGAGUCGCUGGAGGAGGAGUGGAAACUGGUGGUGGUGAUGAAGUAGGAGGAGGAGAGGAAGCUGGUGGCGGAGAAGUAGUUGUGGGUGUUGGAGGUGGUUGAGUAGUAGGUGGAGGUGUGGAAGCGGGUGGAGUCGGCGGCGCCGGCGUGGAUGUCGGAGGAUUACUAGGAGUAGGAGGAGCUUGGCCUAAAACGCCAGCUACAGCAAUGCAAAACAAAGCUGAUAAGAACAAAAACUUAUUAUUAAGCAUCAUAUUGGAAACAAUGGUGACCCUUUAAUCCUGCACACCCUCUCCGCUUAAACUACGCCCAGCCGUGCAAGCAAAUGAGGGAGAAGAAGAG
rnacentral:lncRNA from 1 species